rnacentral:lncRNA from 1 species
GCGACUUCUCUCUCUCUCUCCCGCCGGCUCUCUCUCUUCCUCCCCUCGUAUCUCCGGCCACCGACCACGGCUGUGGGCGGGGCCGGUACCAAAAUGACCGGGACGACGUCCCCUUCCUUCCCCGACCGUUCCCCGCCGGCGACGCGGCCGUUGCUGGCCGGAAAAUGCAGAAAACCGCCGGUUUUCAGUCGAAACUUCAAGCUCCUCGAUCUCCUUCGUUUCUCAACCAAAUCGUUCGAGUAAGGUAUGGUUUCUCAGCUAUUUUUCAUGUUCUAACUGAUGGUUGGUUGGGUUUUGAUCGAUUCGAUCUCUAGAUCACUCGAUUUUCGAAUUGAAAAUCGGCGGAAACUUCGGCAGCCGUGAUCGGCCAUUUCCGGCCACUUUUUGGGGUAGGUCCAAGAACAAAAGUGGCUCCAAAUAGGGUGUUAUACCUAGGGUAGGAGUUUGGAGCCGAGAUGUUGAGAUUUUCCGGCGAAGCGUUAUCGCUUUGGGCACCCACGCGCUGCCGGCGCGUGCGGCAGCGCGUGGGUACUGUAGAAAAAGUAGCGAUGUGUUCCGAUGAGAUCCUUAGGUCGUCACGAGUGCGUAGGAUUUCGCGGAUCUCAAUUCGGACGUCGUUUGACUAUCGAACGGAUAAUCGCAUGGUAUGCGUUAUCUGGGUUUGAUAGGUUGGGACCGUUGGAUGGUUCCAAAUUUAAUAUAUGUUAAUCUAGGUAAUUCUAGGAUCGGAUAGGAAUUCACGGAUUGUGAAUCGGAGCCCCGGAUGUUGGAUUCACUACAUGCACCACCAAGUGAAAGCUAGGUCCCGCGUGGCGUAGGUUAUUCGGCGUUGGGACAGGCUCCAUACGUGGCGUUGGUUGUACCGGCGUAUGGGGAGCUAUUGUGAUAUUGUGUUGAGGUCGCACGUGGCGUAGGUUAUCCGGCGUGUCGACAGACCCCAUACGUGGCGUUGGUUGUACCGGCGUAUGGGAAGAUUUGUGAUGUGAUGUUGAGGUCCCGCGUGGCGUAGGUUAUCCGGCGUUGGGACAGGCCCCAUACGUGGCGUUGGUUGUACCGGCGUAUGGGAAGUUAUGUGAUAUGAUUUGCAGGUCUCACGUGGCGUAGGUUAUCCGGCGUGUUGACAGGCCCCAUACGUGGCGUUGGUUGUACCGGCGUAUGGGGAGGUUAUGUGGGAUACAGAGAAAUGAAUUAAGAUAUCGCUCAAGUGUGGAAUGGGAUUUUAGGAAGAACUACGUGUGGCUUGAUCCCUCAAGGAGGGUACGUAGGCAGCCUAAGGUUAUUAGGCGCAGCCGCAGACUAAAUAUUAGUCAUAAUUUGUAUUUAAAUUGUUUGGUAGUUAUUUGAGAAUUUUUGGAAGGCCGAAGGCCAUUUAUGAGAAUUUGUAUGAAAUUAUAUUGUGCAUGCUGCCAGUUGUGGAUAUUAAAUGUGUUUUCAUGCAGGUAUAAAUUUUGGAAAAUGUCCAAAUUGUAGGGGAGACUCUGCCGAAAUUUCGGCAGGAAGUCUCGGUUUUUAGUGAGUAGGCCUGACAUUGGGAUGAUGUCAGGAAUUCCAAAGGGUUCGUCUCGGAUUUUGAGAAAAUUCGGGGCGGGUCCUUAAAAGAUUGAUGUUGUUUUCCAUUAUCAAAUAGCAUAGGGAAGGAAGGCAAUUCAAACACGUAUAGACUCACAACCACUAUAGUUCUUCCAUUCACUUUGAACCUCCCUCCAGAUGCGUUCUAUGGCAUCCUUGUUCUUUUAUUUUUAUUUUUUAAUUACUAGCUUUUCAUUGAAGCCCAGAAAAAGAUUAAACAAAAUACACCAGGAAAUCCAAAAAAUACUGGGGGAUACAAUCUUGAGAAUACAAGGUAACAAGUAAAUGAGAAACAACUUAAAACUUUAUAGAUCACUCUGCUGGACUGAAUAUCGAUAAUGAUGGAAUUGAACUGAUGACUGGAUCCAAUCUGGAGAUUUGAAGGACUAUCAGAAUUUGUUCUUUGUUGAGAACUAAUAGCGCAACCAAGGUCAACAAGAAACAAAAGGAACUCAACUAGAAACAGCGAAGAUAAGAUUUUACCACAUGAGGCAGAAGAAUAAUGCAUGGGCAAGUGCUGCAGAGUGAUAUUGAGUAAAACCUUGUUUGAGAAUACAACCUAGAAAUUUAAAGAGAAGGAGAAGAGUGAAAAAAUAAGAAAAAAAUCUUAGAUCUUGGUCGUAGGAAUCCUGAAUAUAAAUUAAAGAAGAAAGGUGUGAAGAUAAGAAGAAGAAGAAGAAGAAGAAGAAGAAGAAGAACUGGCUAGUAAUCGCCAGAGAAAAGGAAGGAGCCAUUGAGGAAUACACUGGCAAAAGUGAAGAGGUCAGUAGAUGUAAAAGAUUUUAGAGAGUCGGAUCAGUAGUCCAUUAUUAGCAACAACGAUAUUGUUUCCAACUUAACCACCUACGAAACCCAAUAGGUGUAAGGUUUUAUCACAAAAAAUCUCGUUGAUAUUAGCAGUGGAACCAUUCAUUAUAUGUUGUAUUUUAUUUAGUUAAGUUCUAAUAUAGGAUUCAUAUUCUUCAAUAUAUGGUUGUAAAAUAUCAUUUGCUAAAACUUUAAGAAAGCUUGUACAAAGUGGAGGAGGAUCAUUCAAGAAAGUUAGAGAUGAGCAAAAGUCUUGUGAAAAGGUUUUGUGGUGUCAGAUUGUGAUGUAUCUAGUUUUAUAUCGUACAUAAUAUCGUUCUAUCUAAAAUUCUGUCGGACACAAAGUUAAAUUAUUAUGAUAUUGACUACUUUGGCUGUGUAUAACCAAAUGAUCAUAUGGGCAUUCAUCGCAAAGGCCCUAUAAAAUCCUUCACCCAUAUGUUUCACUAACUCAUAGAGAUAUCUUAAAACAUUUUUCUACGAGCCAAUAAAUGGGCGAUUCAACCCCUCUUCUCCCCGAAAUCAACUCGGCCGAGUCAGAACCCCCAUUGUUGCACAAACAUGUUCCCUCCCUAGACUCCACGAUCGAACGGUGCAUCGGAGAUUUCGGGUGGGCCCAAUUCCUCCAAGCUUUCCUUGUAUCGUUUUCAUGGUUCUUUGAUGCCCAACAAACCUUCAUCACCGUCUUCACAGACGCCGAGCCAACAUGGCUCUGCACCCAACUCGAUGAUCCUAACAACUCAUGCCACUCAGCCUCAAACGUUUGCCAACUUCCUCAAAAUUCAUGGGCUUGGGACCGGCCAAGACACACUUCCACCAUCUCCGAAUGGGCCCUGCAGUGUUCACCGUCAAUCGUCCAGGGUAUGCCCUCCUCAGCCUUCUUCAUGGGUUGCUUAAUAGGCGGGCUUGCCUUGGCCACACUUGCUGACACGUCACUGGGCCGCAAAAACAUGCUCUUCCUCACUUGUCUCGUCAUGUCUUUGUCCACCUUUCUCACUGCCUUCUCCUCCAACAUAUGGAUCUACUCCAUCCUCCGAUUCAUCACUGGAUUUGGCCGUGCUACCAUCGGCACCUCUGCUCUUGUCCUAUCAACGGAGCUUGUUGGGAGGAGGUGGCGUGGCCAGGUAGGUGUCAUUGGAUACUUCUGCUUCACUCUAGGGUUUCUAUCCCUACCAGCUAUUGCAUACACUCAAAGAGCUCAUUCAUGGAGAACACUCUAUUUUUGUACUUCCAUCCCUACCUUCUUGUAUUGCAUAAUGGUUCAUUUCUUGGUUCAUGAGUCACCAAGAUGGCUCUUCCUUCGAGGCCGCAAAGAAGAAGCAAUUGCAACACUAAAACACAUUGCACCCAUCAAUGCUACUAGUACUAAAACACCACUCACAUCUAGCUUCUUUUCGAACUUGUCCUUUGAGCAAGAAACAAGGAACGUUGAUCUCUACUCGGCGAUCAAGGUUCUGGUGAAGAGCAGAUGGGCUUUUCGGAGAUUGUCCGCGGUUAUGGCAAUAGGGUUUGGUGUUGGAAUGGUAUAUUAUGGAAUGCCAUUAGCCUUGGGAAGCUUGGACUUCAAUCUCUACUUAAGUGUCACGUUCAAUGGCUUGUCAGAGCUACCAGCUUCGUUAAUCACAUUAGUCUGCAUUGCCAAAAUGAACAGGAAGACCUCACUCUUGGUUUUCACUAGUCUUAGUGGGGUUUUUAGCAUAAUGUCCGUGUUGAAAGGAACUCAUCCAAUAUGGACAACAUUACAAAUUGUGUUCGAGCUUGUGUCUUUUUUCAGCGCCUGCUCGGCUCUCAAUGUCUUGCUAAUAUUUACGGUUGAGCUUUUCCCCACCUGCGUGAGAAACUCGGCUGUGUCGAUGGUGCGGCAGGCGGUGGUGUUGGGAGGAGUGUUUAGUCCAAUGCUGGCGGCCGCUGGGAGAGUCAAUGGCGGGUUUUUGUCGUAUGGAGUGUUUGGGGUUGUGGUUGGGAUUUUUGGGUUGUUUGUGGUUUGUUUGCAAGAGACGAGAGGUAGAGGGAUUUGUGAUACAAUGGAUGAAGAAGAGUACAAACAAAGAGACAGCUACUUGUAAUGCGGUCCCUCCCUGGUGAUGUGUAGAUUGAUUUAAACUACUUUGUCUUGUAAGGUUUUCCUCAAAUAAUCUGGAGUUAAUAUUUUGUCACGACAACUCUAUUGGUCUUUUUUUUUGUUUUUUUACGCGGAAAGGAAUAUUAAAAAGCAAAACCUCUUGGACACGCAGGCCAAAAGAGAAAAAUAAAAUUAGUGAUGUGUAGGAUAUAAUCAAGACACUUUAUUAAGGUAGUGACAAAGAUAUAAUAUAGCACGCCAACUAUGACUUGUACUCUGACAGCAACAAAUUGAGGAAUUAAUCUCUUCCUCUCGAACAGUAGGAUCUGUCUACAUAGAGGCCAUGCACUAGUGCUUUGCUUUCUAACCAUCAAUCACUGUACGCUGAUAAUUACCACCCAAUACAUAGAGGCCACAGAAACCAAAUAUUAAUAUAUUUGAGAAAAUUUGAGACACAACUGCACUUUACAACACUAAAUAUUAAUAUAUUUAUCUAUUGGUGAAAAUAAUCCAAUUUUAUCAUAAGGAGUUUAGAAACUAACAAAGGUUUGUUUCAGAUAACUUUGUGGUGUUGAAAUCAAAUUUUAUAUCAUUCACUCCCAACACUCAAAGUAGGGUAAAUAUUUUGUGUGAUUUAUUCUUCUCUCUAGUAGGUAUAUAUAGGAUUAUAUACAUACAUACAAAAGUGAACUAGGAAAAUACAUAUAUACAAUCAUGUCUAAUAAGGGAAUUACAAUCAAUUACAUAAUUAUCUCUUAAUAAGGGAAUGAUUCAUAUACCAACACUCCCCAUUAAGGUGUCGCAUAGAUCUUUUCAAUGCCCAACUUCACAAGUGAGUCAUGGAACGCUUGACUUUAUACUACCUUUAUCAGAAUAUCUGCUAGCUCUUCAAUAGUCUUGACAUGUGGGAUUUGUAUAAUAUCUCCUCCAACUUCUCAUAUAUUAAAUUAUGAUCAAUCUCUAUAUGUUUAGUUCGAUUGUGUUGUAACAGAUUCUCUACUAAAUUAGUAAACUAUAUUGUGUUUUAAAACUAAAGCUCCCUCGUAAAAAAUAGUUAUUCUAGACAUCUGAUUCAUAGAGCCUCAUUGGCAGGUGACAGUUGAUGAGUAUAAACAUAGUUUUCAAUUGGAUAUUUCACCAGCUUAAAAUUAUCAAGUGAGUAUCUAUAUCUGGAGGCUUCCCUCGGGUACUCUUUAAUGGCAACUGAUAGCUGUCACUAUCAAUUUGUUUAAUAUUUGUAUGAUUAAUGACUGAGUUGUUAGUAUUAAUCUGGUUUUCUAGACUUAUCUUAGGAAUACCUGCAUGAGAAAUAGCAUCAUCGGGUAAUGCAGGAGUAGAGGAGGGGAAAGUAGUAUAAGAAGCCAAGAGGUCUGAAGAAGACGGCAAGGGCGACGACGACGUCGCCAGUACAGGUUCUGCCUAUGAGUCUAGUAUUGUACUCGUUGCCAGUGGUCUCUUCAAAUCGAGUUCUGCCAAAUCUGAUGAUGGUACAUCAACUAAAUCUGGUAGCCCAAUCAUCUAAUUCGGCUCUUCCAUGCUUACAAUCUCCCCCUGAAGAGGAGAAUUGGACAUUGGUUCGGCAAAAUACAUCUCUGUUUCUGAAAAAGUAACAUCCAUUGUGACAAAAUAACAUUGGGUAGGUAGAUGACAACACAUGUAACCUUUCUGGUGUGGAAAAUAGCCAACAAACACACACUUCAAAGCACAAGGGUCAAGUUUAAUAUGCUGAUUUUUAUGAAAGUAGAUAUAAACAACACAUCCAAAUAUCGUAGCGCCAGGGUUAAAUGGGAAGAAUGAGUGACAUAGGUAGAGAGUUUCUCAAAAGGUGACUUAAAUUGCAGGGUAUUGGUUGGGACACGUUUGAUGAGAUGCACUGCUGAGGUGAUAGCAUCCUCCCAUAAGGUAGGUUUCAUAUGGGCACCAAUGAAACUGGCUCGAGUAACCUUCAGGAUCUGGCAAUUUUUCCUUUCCACAACACCAUUUUGUUGUAGUGUUUGAGGACAAGUUAUCUAGUGAAUAAUAUCAUGAUCCUGAAAAUAAGCUUGUAAUAAUUGAUUGACAUAUUCACCUCUAUUAUCAGAACGAACAACUUUCAGAGUAGUAGAAAACUGAGCAUGUACCAAUCUUUUUGAAAACAUGAAAUCAAUCAUAGACAUCACUCUUGUUUUUCAUCAAAUAUAACCAUGUCAUACGGUGCAAUCUUUCACAAAGAUCAGAAACCAGUAUAAACAAGGUCAUGUCCCCAAACAUCAGUUUAAACCAAAGCAAAUAGAACAUAUGUUUUAUUUGAACUUAAUUGAUAAGUAGCACACUGACUCUUCGCUAAAAUGCAAGUAUCACACUUGAUAUCCGAAAUAGUACAAUAUAAAAAUAAAGACAGAAAUAAAUGUUUAAAAUAACCAAAAGAUGAAUGGCCUAAAUGAGGAUGCUAUAACCAAAUAUGAUUCUCUUUAUCUCGAGCAGAGCCCUUUACUGACAUAAUCCUUCCUAAAGAAGACAAAAAAUAAUGAUAGAUCAAUAGAAGACAAUUUAAUUGUUUUAUCACUUGAGGAACAUAUAAGAUAUUAUUUGACAAUGCAGAAACAACUAAAGUAAGCUUCCAAUAUAAGGAAAGGGUUAAUUCGACUCUGCCAGCACCUUUAACAGGAUAGGACACACCAUUUGCAUUGGCCACGCUCGAGUGGUUAUGAUUCCGAGGAGCAUAUAGAUCGUAAGUCAUAUAUGAUCUGUGGCUCUAAAAUCAAUUAUCAAGCCAGGGUGUGCAAUUGCUAAUGAAGUAGAAGAAGACAAAUUAUGGAGACAAAAGGAAGAAGAGAGAGAGGGUAGGUGAGACUAAAGUAAGAAGGAGGUGAUGGUGUGUUUGCCAUUAGAGAAAAAGGAGUCAUUACCGUCAAUUUGGGAAGGAGAAAAAAACCUAAGCUGAUAUGGCCAACCCACAACCAUUAGAUUAUUUGAAUGCUUCAUAUUUUGCGAAAUAAACCUAAAUAUACGCUCUCUAAAUACAAAAAUUCGGUAUUCUAUUUUAUGAAUGGAUGCAUCUACAGAGUUUGAAUGGGUCAUAUCUAUUUCAAUGAAAUAUUAUACUCGUUGUCUUUUCACAAUAGAUAUACCUAUAGAUACAUAUCUAUCUAUACUUUUUAUCACAAGUAGUUCAUAUACUGUUUUCAAACAUAUCAAUUUCUUCCUAUUCUUUCACAAGUAGUUCAUGUACUGUUUUCAAACAUAUCAAUUUCAUCCUUAUUCUUUCAGUUUGAUCAAAGUCAUCUCCAUCUUCUUUUGUUGCACAUUAAUGCUGUCAUUCUCGACACCAAUUCUAUUCAAUUUCGGUCAAAAUUGAUCACGUGCCUUACACAUGACCAUCAUCAAUUCUCGUGGGUGGGUGGCAGUAUAUUUUUCUUUGUGAUAAGCUGUGACUAAUGGCAAUUAUGAAUUUGAACAAUGAAAUCGUUAAUUUAUUUUGGUGCAUGCUUAGUGUACAGAUUCGUGCUUGAAUAACCUAUAGUUACUUAGCAUAGAGGGCAUUUAUGAUAAGGAGGUGACAUAAGUAGAGAUUAAAUCCCAAGUUAGCAGGCAUGUCGUAUAGUACUGGUUUUCAUAAUGAAAUUUAAACAAUAAAUCAAAAUGACUAAGAGCAUCUCUAAUCGAUAUGUCAAAAUUGCUAUAUGGAUAUGAAAUUGCAAAAAUUGAAGAUUAAAGUUGCUUCAACCAAGUAGUCAAAUCUUACAUGAAUUUGAAGUCUAGAAGAGAUAUGUCAAAAAUAACAUAUAUAUCCAAAAGCUUGAUGUCAAAUAUUAUUUUAAUAAUUUUUAGUCAUGGACUCUACUAUCAUUUAAACUCUACUCUUUUAAAACUUUAUGCAUCAUAUGUGCUCCAUCGCUUUUAAAAUAUAAUAAAAUAAUAUGAUAUUUGGCAUUGCGGUUGGAGUUAAAUUGUUUCCAAAGUAUCAAAUUGCCGCAUAAACCAUCAAAUUCAAAUUUAACAUUUUGCAUUUGACAUCUCCUUUGGAGAUGCCCUAAGAUGUGAAAGAAAGAAAAUAAAAGACAAUUAGUGACUAAACCAUUCCAUAUUCUUGGAACAUUAUACUUGGACAAUGAUAUCCUCAUAAUAAAUUAUAGGCUUAUUAUCACAAAACAUCCUUAAGGUUUACGAAACUAUCAGAUUGCAUCCUUAAUAUUUUUUUGUAUCAUUCGUGGUCCUCAAAGUUAGUAUGUAUGAUCACAAAUAGUCCCUGCCGUUAGGUUCCCAUCAAAAACUAUGUUAGUUUGUUGAUGUGGCAUAUAUAUAUAUAUCACAAAACAUCCCUGAGAUUCAUGCACCUAUCACAAAUGGUCCCUGUGAAAAUUUUUAAUUUUUUAAUAGUUUUUUCAUUUAAAAUCCUUCUAUAAAUGGUUUUUUCAUUUAUAAAUAAUUUAAAAAAUAAAACCAAAAAUUUAUGAAAUUUAAAUUAAAAAAUUAAAAAAAUUCGCAGGGACCAUUUGUGAUAGGUGUGCGUGAACCUCAGGGAUAUUUUGUGAUAUAUAUAUAUAGUCCUCUUCUAUUGAGGGAUCCCUCAAAUAAUUUUAUUUGAGAGACACCUCUUAGGGUUCCCUACGAAUUUUUUUUCAAUGAUCGAAACCAUCUAUUUUUUAAGUCUAUAUUUAUAGAUCAUCCUUGAAAAAAAUUAGACAAAUCGGAAACUAUUUCGAUCUCCAAUUGUGUCCUACAAAAUCAAUGAACACGGUGCUUCAAGAAAGUACUAAAAUUUCAAUAAUUCAAUUGAGUGGUCAAAUGAUAUCGGAUUUAAGUGAUUUUUUAUAGAAAUGAUCUUUGAAUGAGUAUCUACAAAAGAUACAGUUUGGAUUAGUGAAAUACAAUGCGGAGUGGACCCUACAAGGGUAUCUAUCAAAUAAGCUAAUUUGAAGAAUUCCUCAAUGGAAGCUCUCUCUCUCUCUCUCUCUCUCUAUAUAUAUAUAUAUAUGAAACGUCAGCAAACUAACGGAGUUUUUGACGGAACCUAACGGCAUGGACUAUUUGUAAUCGCACAUACUAACCUUGAGGACCACAAGUGACCAAAAAAAAAAAAAAAAACAUUAAGGAUGCAAUAGGAUAGUUUCGUAAACCUUAGGGACGUUUUGUGAUAAUAAUCCUAAAUUAUAAAUUUACUCUCCUUCAUCCCAUGUUCAAAUUUACAUGUAGUGCAGAUAAUGAGCAUAGUUACAUAUGAUUAUUGGGAUUGACAAGAAGUAUGGUUGUAAAACUGCUCCCAUGUACAAAGAGAAGCCUUGUGAAGGGUUUUGUGGUUUCAGAUUGUUAUACACACUCUAGUUUUAUAUCCUACAUAAUAUUAACCUAUCUAAAAUUCUUUUACAAAAAUUGAGCUUAGACCCAUAAAAUUCAUUUUAAAUCACCUACAACCCUUUUCUUUAAUUUUCUAUUUAAAAUACUUAAUUUUUUCAAAUAAUAUCCGAUGACUAGGAUCCAACUAAGCAAGUUACCUAAUAUAACUUAUAAUCUGAUUUAUUGUAUUUUUAGCAUUCCAAAACUACCCAUAUUUAUAAGUUAAUGUGUUAUGGGGUUGUAACUAAUGACACCCGUUCAAUUUGAAAAUAUCUCUAAAUAGUUGUAAUGGAUGUAGGAACUAAUUUAGAAACUUAUUUGAAAUUAAAUAUUAAAUUCCACAUUAAAGUAUUAGUAAUAUAUUUUACGACUAGUAAUCUAUUUUUGAAUUAAUGGUGUUUUCCUUUUAUGAAUUAUGACUAGUAAUCUAUUUAACGUAUUAAUAAUUUAAAUUCAAUAUUAAAUUUAGAAAUUAAUAUUGUUUUCUUUUUAUGAAUUAUACGACUAGUAUUCUUGUUUAUUAUAGUUUUAUGAAUAUUGUACCUAUUUUUGUUUUUCUUUUUAUGAAUUAUACGACCAGUUUUCUGUUUAUAAAUAUUGUACCUAUAGUGUACAUUCUAAUUAUGUUGAAAAAUAAUUUGAUAAUCUAUUUAUUGUUUUGUUUUUAAAAUAUUUUUUUAUUUAACCUAUUUUUUUUCCAAAUAUUGUACCUAUUUUUGUUUUUCUUUAUUACUUGUUUUAUGAAAAAUAAUUUGAUCAUCUUUUUAUUGUUUGUUUUAUGAAAACAAUUUUUUUUUAAAUGAGCCUAUUUUUUCUCUCAAAAUAACGUACCUAUUUUUUUUUCUCUAAUAAUGUACCUAGUAAAACAAUUUACCUAGUAUGAUGAACUUAUUUUUUUUCUCUAAUAAUGUACCUAUUUUUCUCUCUCAAAAUAAUGUACCUAUUUUUCUCUCUCAAAAUAAUGUACCUAUUUUUCUCUCUCAAAAUAAUGUACCUAUUUUUUCUCUCAAAAUAAUGUGCCUAUUUUUUCUCUGAAAAUAAUGUACCUUUUUUUUUUUCUCUAAUAAUGUACCUAGUAAAAUAAUUUACCUAGUAUAAUGAACCUAUUUUUUACUCUAAUAAUGUAUACCUAGUAAAACAAUUUACCUAGUAUAAUGAACUUUUUUUUUCCUUCUAAAUAAUGUACCUAUUUUCUAUAAAUUAUUGUGUACCUAUUUUUAAUCUAUGAAAAAUGUACGAAAAUUUCAAUUACAAAGUAAUUGACCUAUUUUUGUUAAUUUUUUUUGGUAAAUAAUAUACUUAUAUUUUUAUACGGAUAUAUUUAUAUUUAUAUUUUUCAUAUGUACAUUAUUGGAUAUGUAAUUUACAUUUUUUUUUUUUUGCAAUUUUAAGGGGCCAUAUGUUAAUGGGAAUGACAACCAAAAGAAAUGGGGUGAUUAAUAUGCUAUUAAUAGGGAGUUUUAAUUAUAAUUAUGGCAGUUAAUGAAAUGCUUGGAAUAAAUUAUAAAUAAAAUAUGAAGUCUGAUGGCAAGGAUGUAAAAACAUAUGAAUACUACGACCUCUGAUAUCCUACUGAUCAUUUAAUUUGAAAUUGGGUUUUACACAUAGAUUUACAGAAUGAUAGAUAUAUGUCUAGGAAAUAGAAAUUAUAGGGAACUAUAUUGGACAAUCCCUAAAAAUUAUUACAUACAGAUCGAAGCUGACUACUUUGACUGCGAGUGACCAUAUAAUCAUAUGCGCAUUCAUCUUAAAGCCCUAUAAAAACCUUCACCAUAUGCUUCACUAACUCGAGUAUAUAUCUUAAGCAUUUUCUCUGAACCAAUAAAUGGCCGAUUCAAACCCUCUCCUCUCUGAAAUUAACUCGGCCGAGUCAGAACCCUCCCUCGACUCUAGGAUCGAACUGUUCAUCGGAGAUUUCGGGUGGGCCCAAUUCCUCCAAGCUUUCCUUGUAUCGUUUUCAUGGUUCUUUGACGCCCAGCAAACCUUCAUCACCGUCUUCACAGACGCUCAGCCAACAUGGCACUGCACCCAACUCAAUGAUCCUCACAACUCAUGCAACUCAGCCUCAAACGUUUGCCAACUUCCUCAGAAUUCAUGGGCUUGGGACCGGCCUAGACACACUUCCACCAUCUCCGAAUGGGCCCUGCAGUGUUCACCGUCAUUCGUCCAGGGUAUGCCCGCCUCCGCCUUCUUUAUGGGCUGCUUAAUAGGCGGGCUUGCCUUGGCCACACUUGCUGACACGUCCCUGGGCCGCAAAAACAUGCUCUUCCUCACAUGUCUCGUCAUGUCUUUGUCCACCUUUCUCACCGCCUUCUCCUCCAACAUAUGGAUCUACUCCAUCCUCCGAUUCAUCACUGGGUUUGGCCGUGCUACCAUCGGCACCUCUGCUCUUGUCCUAUCAACGGAGCUUGUCGGGAGGCGGUGGCGUGGCCAGGUAGGUGUCAUUGGCUUCUUCUGCUUCACUCUAGGGUUUCUAUCCCUAACUGCUAUUGCAUACACUCAAAGAGCUCAUUCAUGGAGAACACUCUAUUUUUGUACUUCCAUCCCUACAUUCUUGUAUUGCAUAAUGGUUCAUUUUUUGGUUCGUGAAUCACCAAGGUGGCUCUUCGUCCAAGGCCGUAAAGAAGAAGCAAUUGCAACACUAAAACACAUUGCACCCAUCAAUGGUACUACCACUAAAACACCACUCACCUCUAGCUUCUUUUCGAACUUGUCCUUUGAGCAAGAAACAAGGAACGUUGAUCUCGGCGAUCAACGUUCUGGUGAAGAGCACAUGGGCUUUUCGGAGAUUGUCAACGGUUGUGGCAAUAGGGUUUGGUGUUGGAAUGGUAUAUUAUGGAAUGCAAUUAGCCUUGGGAAGCUUGGACUUCAAUCUCUACUUAAGUGUCACGUUCAAUGGCUUGUCAGAGCUACCAGCUUCGUUAAUCACAUUAGUCUUCAUUGCCAAAAUGAACAGGAAGACCUCACUCUUGGUUUUCACUAGUCUUAGUGGGGUUUUUAGCAUCAUGUCCGUGUUGAAAGGAACUCAUCCAAUAUGGAAAACAUUACAAAUUGUGUUCGAGCUUGUGUCUUUUUUCAGCGCCUGCUCAGCUCUCAAUGUCUUGCUAAUAUUUACGAUUGAGCUUUUCCCCACCUGCGUGAGAAACUCGGCUGUGUCGAUGGUGAGGCAGGCGGUGGUGUUGGGAGGAGUGUUUAGUCCAAUGCUGGCGGCCGCGGGGAGAAUAAAUGGCGGGUUUUUGUCGUAUGGAGUGUUUGGGGUUGUGGUUGGGGUUUUUGGGUUGUUUGUGGUUUGUUUGCAAGAGACGAGAGGUAGAGGGAUUUGUGAUACAAUGGAUGAAGAAGAGUACAAAGAAAGAGACAGCUGCUUGUAUAAUGCGGUCGCUGGUGAUGUGUAGAUUGAUUUAACUACUCUGUUGUCUAUCAAAUAAUUUCAAGUUGCGUUUUUGAGUGUUGCAUGUAGAGGUAGGGGAUUUUGGUUUGAUAUUUCUUUCUUUCUAAUUAAUAAAAUUAAUACAAAUCUAAAAAUCUAUGUGCCUCCCACCAGAACUGAAACGAGCACAUGCUACCUAUUCAGAAAAUGUGUGGCAUUUAUAUUAUAUUAGUGUUGGCUAUUUGGUUAGUCUAAGGAUGGGUUUUAGCUGACAACUGACAAUGAUUCAAGAUUUUGAUGAUUGUGUGUAUAAAUAUUGAUGUAUAGGAUAUGAUCAAGACAUUUAAUUAAGAGAGUGACAACAUGGAAUGAUGUGGCCGUUUUUGUUGGCUAUCGCAUAGUUUUGUUUAUUAGUAAGUUGGAUUAGAUCAUAUAUCAAAACGAUGAUCCAGUUUGAUUUUGUUGUGGUUCCCUCCUUAGUGAAUCAAAAUGUGCGACUGUUAUUUUUCCCCCUUUCAAAAGCACAUGAAUGCAUGUCUUUCAGACCAAAAAAUUCUCUCCUUAGUGGAAGAGAAAAAUGGAGGAGCUCACAUGCAUUCGGUGCCUUGGAUUCUCUCCUUAGUGGAGGGAUAUUUUGUAUGUCUUGAUGGUGUUUUUUUGCAAUGAUGGGAAGACAUCAUCAUUUGUCUUUAAUAAUUCUGUCUUGGGGAGCUUUUUGACUGGCCAACAUUGUGGCUCUUCUAGCAUGUACGUGGGCUGGUUUUGGGAGGUGAAAAUCAGCCUUCCUUUUACGGUUUAUAAAAGGGGAGGGUGCAUGCAAGUGGGAGUGUGUGCUUGUGUCGCAGCAAACGCAUGAGAGGGUUGUGGGCUGGUGAGCUUCAGCCACACCAAAGGAGAAGGCAGAGAGAGAGAGCACGACAGAGAAGGAGAGUGGGUUGCUUGUGAGAUGCAAGCAAGCAGUCCAACUCCAGGAGGAUGUUUCAGCUGGGAGUUAGCUGGGUUCAUCAAGGGUUCAAGAGAGGGUAUAUCUCUUGGGAGUGAGUGAGUUUUGGGAAAUACUGUGAGUGGGUGUACAAGGGACUCGGGUUUGGAUAUAAAACUUUUGAGGGCAUGUUUACGUAUCAGUAAUGGAGAAAGUAAGGAAUCAGAUAAUUUAGGAAUCGGGGAACUACUGAAUCGGUAUGGGAAGAAUCAUUCCCAUUAAGUUGUUUACUAAACAUACGAAAUUAGUAAAGGAAUGGGGUUGAUUCCCAUUGUUAUUGUUUACUAAUUUUCAUGAAUCAGAAUCCAAAUUAAUUUGAUUACUAAAAUGCCCUACACAUUUUCACCACAUCACAUAUAUAAAAUUCACCCAAAACCAAAAGCUAUAGGAAAAGGGGUUUUGAAUUAAUCAGUAAGAGGGAAUCCGUUAUCAAAGAAAAUUAUCAGCAAUUUAUUCUGACCCAAAAGCUAGACAAGCUAACCUGGCUAAGAAAUCUUUGAUCAAGUGAGAUAAAAUUCACAAAAGAAGUCACCUAAGGGCUAAGCAUUUGCAAAGAGCACAUCCAAAACUAACAUAAGCAAAUAAAAUUCACAAAAUAAACUCCAAUAAAUAUUUAUCUUUCACCUACGUAACUAGUAAAUAAUCAAAUAAUAAUAAUUUGCAUAAUCUUCAUACGAUUAAAUACAAAAUAGUCAAACUACCAAAAGAAGAGAUAUAUAAUCUCCACAAAAGUCAUUCACCCAUUACUCAUCAAUCGCAAUCACUAUAAGCCAUGCUCCAUAAGAUUAAAUACAUAAUCUUUUUUUUCUUCAUCAGUCAUGGUAAAGAAGACCCUCAGCAAAUCGUGCUCUUUGGCUAAAAUAUUGGUGAUACGAAAUACUUGCAAAGGAGUUAGGAAUUCUAUUUUCCUCAAUUCACCACCAAGUUUAGCUUGCAUAUCAGCAAGAUCCUUCUCUGUUGAAAGAACAUUAACCAAACCUGCAAGUUGAGGUGCCAUUCCGGCUACGGCUUCAGCCAUAAGUCCAAAUUUGUUAGACAUUUCAUUCAAAGCAUUUACCUUCCUACGAGGAUUACUUGGACCACUUGCUACAUCUUGUGCGGGUCUCUUCUGUUGGGCACGUUGUUGGGCACUUGAGGGUUGGGGAUUUGGUUGUGUAAAAGUUGUCUCAUCAUCUUCUAAAUCCUCAACAUCAUCAAAUUGAGAUCCGUCAUAUUCUGAACCCCCAUAUUGUGACCCACCAUCAGGAUGUGAAAACAUCUCCUCAAUAAAAUCAUCACCCACACUUCUAUUCUGAUGAACACUUGCAUCAUCUCGCCUAACGUCUUCUUCAUCAUCAUCAGCAUUUCCAGCAUUUGUUCCAAUAGCACGAUCUUUUCCGUAUAUCUCUCCAAGUGCAUAGUAAUGUGGAAACGACUUGCCAUACAAACCACUUGCCAUACAUUCCACUUUGACAAAUACAUUCUGCACCAGCUAUAAGAUUUUCCAAACCCAACGCCAUCUCUCUUCAUUCAUAUACUACCAACAUGGUUAACUAUGACAAUAUCAUCAAUUUAUUUAUCCAUGAUCAUACUUUGUUUUGCGAUGAAUGUGAAGACAGAAGAUAGAAGAAAAAGAAAAAGGUGGAUAGAUAGAUAGAUGGAGUGACUUACAUAGUUUCUGCUGCUCCAGGGAGGCUGUGUUGUAACGUUAAGGGUUUGAGUUGUUUGAACUCCUUCUAGCGUGUAUUUUUAUUUUUUUUUAGGGUUUGAGUUAUUUUGGAAUUAUAGUAAAGUGGUAAGGGUAUUUUUGGAAGUUAAUAAGAGAAAGCAGGAAUGGGAAUCGUAUCGACUAGUCCCCCCUAGUCGAUCUGAUACCUAGUUUUGAGGGAAUGUGAUUACGGAUUUUGAGGUGGGGCCCACUUAUUUUUUCAUUCCUGAUUGCAAGUAAACGCAGGGGAAGUCAGGAAUGGAAAUCAUUCCCUUUCCUCUCAUACCCAUUACUGAUACGUAAACAUGCCCUGAGUGUUAUAUUGGGUUAUGUGGAUUUAACUCAAUAUGGAUUUUGUACGGUUAUUAUUCUCAUAGUGAAGAAUUGACAAUAUUGUCCGUGGAUGUAGGCAGGUUAUCUGUCAAACCUCGUAAAUUCUUGGUGUGUUCUCUCAUAUAUUUACUCAUUAUUAUUUUGGGCUUCUUGGUUUCUUUAUUGUUAUUUCUUCCAUCCGGUUAUGCCGUGACCUGAGAGGGAAAUCGGUGUUUUUCCUAACAGAUUUGAAAACUAUUUUUUAUUUAUUUAUAAUCUUUAUACGAAUUCGAUCUAGAAAAGUCAUAGUAAAAAACUGGGUCGAACUACAUAUAUCGAGAAGCUGAACCAAACCGAAUAUUAUGUUUUUUACUAAACAUGUCACUCUCUUUUUAGAAUUCGGAAUAUUAUUAGAUAGAGGAUGAUUUGGAUUAAGGUAAAAUAUAAAGAUAUAAAAAUUGUAUCGGAAAUUGGUGUUUAAAAAACACUCUCCCAAAAAACACUCCUAAGAGCAACUCCACCCAUUUGCCCUUAGCCAUGGCAAGGGUGGAGCUAGGGCAAGCACUAUUCACGUGAAUAGUGGUUGCCCUUGCAAAUAGUAAAUCGUUUCUCCACCCGUUGCCCUUAGCCAUGGCAAUUACUAUUCACUUUUUUGUUUUUUCCUCCUAUUUUUUAAUGAAAAUAAUUAAUUUGGGUAAUAUUUUCAGAUAAGAUUUUCGGAUUCCUACGUGUCAAGACUAUUCAUAAUCAGAUAAAAUUUUCGGAUAAGAUAUUUGGAUUCAAAUUUCGGAUUAAUUUCAAAGUUCAAAUUUCAGAUAAAUUUUUGGGUUCAAAUUUCGAAUGAAUUUCAAAAUUCAAAAUUCAGAUAAAUUUGGGUUCAAAUUUCGGAUGAAUUUCAAAAUGCUAGAUGAAAAAGAGGAAAAUGUUGUGUAAAAAGAGUGAAUAUUAGUAGAAGUAUAAUGAAAUGUAAGAGUAUUGGUGUUGAAAGUGAAGGGUAUUGAUAGGUAUUUAUAGAAAAAAAUAUCAGAAUUUUUUAGAAUUUUUUUUCAUAUUUUUUUCACCCAAAAAAGCCUCAGCCGUUGGAUUAGAAAUGAGAAGCAGAUCGGAAGGCACUGAGCGCGACACGUGGCAGCAUACCAGCUAGCUGACGUCAGCGUGACGCCAGCGCUGACGUCAGCACCCUCGUUUUGGACCUGGGGCUGGUUUGGCCUUCGGGCUGGCCCGAGUUGGUGGGUCCCACACCAAACCCGGGCCUGGGCUGCACGCUGGAGCGAAAAUUUUUUUUUUUUCUGCCCUUGCCUCGGGCUGGGCUCCUUCGCUGGAGCCACUCUAAGUCAUUUUCACUUUAAGGGGAGGAAGCCACUAUUCUUUCUCCCCUUUCCUCUCUCCCCUCUUGUCUAUCUCCUCUUCUUCCCUCAUUUUCAUAGAUAAAAGGUUUUCCAUAUUCAUUUUGUUAUGAUGUUCCUCAAACCAUCACAAACAGUUGCUUCUCGGCAUUAGAUCUCCACCUGCGUUUCUUCAUCGAAUCUCCACCACCAUCAUUUUUGCGGUUUCUUUAUGUUUAGAAAUAGCUUUCCACAUCUCCUUUGUGAGAGCUUUUCAUCUCUCCUUUGUGAGAGUUUUAUUUGUAUAGUUAUGGCUUGGUUUUUUCAAACUUGAUCUUUUUAUUAUUAUUCUGAGUUUGCAAUCUUAGUUGGGAUGCCUAUGCCAGAGUCUCUUCGAUCCUUCAUGAUCGUUAGUGGAGGUGCACCAAAUUGUCUUAAUUUUGAUGUUAGACUGCUUCGUUAUUGUAAUGGCCAUUUGUGGCUAGUUUGUAUUGAUCAUUUGUGGCUAGUGACUUUUUUAGUUGAAUUAUAAAUGUAAUAUUAAAAUUUCUCAAAAAAAUAAUAAAUAAAAACCCGAUAACCAAAAUAGGUGCUAUAGUCAGUUUGAUUAGCGCUAAAGUUUUAAAUCGAAACAAAUCAGACCGUGUGCCUCUAAGUUGAAUAUUCAUAUAGAGAAACGUUUCCCUUCCAUUUCGAAAGUAUUUUCAUAUUAACUAUUUUUUGUGGUUGAAUAUUAUCAAGUAAUUUACACCGUGAAAAAAAGAAAAGGAAGAAGAUAAUAUAUAUAGCACGACAACUAUGACUUGUACUGAGACAGCAACAAAUGGAAGAAUUAGGUGAGUUAUUUUGCUAGCUAUACACGGAUUAAUUAUUUUGAGUGCCAAAGCAGACAAUUCAUCUGCAUGUCAGUCGCAUUUGCUCAAUGUCACAAUUUGAUUGGCUCAUGACUUUGCUUUGUUCAAUCAUUUUGUGGAGAGAUGGGACACAAAAGAUCAAUAUGCGUUAUGUGGGAAAAGAAAUCAACCAAAAGCCAAAAUGAUAGCAGCAUGCAUCAUUGGAUGACAUGGCCAACAAUUUUUUUAAAGAAGAUUCAAAGAUUUGAUUGAAUAGGGUAUGUCGCGGUAUCGAAAUAAAUUAGGCAGAGAAGAGUAUCUUUAAUUACCCAAAAAACAAAAUGGAGAUAGGGGCUGCAUGAGACACAUCUUUAAUUAUAGGGAAUGCCAAAACAAAUAACAAUUUAUAAAAUGUUGUUGAGCUUUGAUAAAAGUUGUUUUUUGUUUGUUGGAGUAUAAAAUGUUGUUGAAUUUAAAUCACGUUAUUAUGUGGUAAUUGAUGACUGACUCGGGUCACUAGAGAAGUUUUACCUAUAUCUGUCAUAUUGUUAUCUGUGUGACAGUGUUGUCUUGACCUAAGCAAAACUCUGGUUUUGGAAUAAAGAAAGCCCUAAACUAAGAAUCCAAUCUAAAGUCGGCUGGGUUAACCCCACUCUAUCCAUAAGCAUUAGGCCCAAAAUCUCAUACCCAUCAGGGUGUUUCCCUUUUCAAUUGUUUUGACAAACUGGAAAAUUUUCAGUUUGUAAAUAGCCAAUGUAUCUUUCUCCAACAAGUCAACCUCUCAAACCAUAAACCAAGCAAGUACCAAAACUAGCAUAUGAUCAUAUGAUACCAAUUAUGGCAUAUAUGUGACAAAAUAUGAAGGUAUUUCAGAUAGGGCAUUGAACAUUACACUAAGGUAGAUGUUAAAUCCUAAGUUUCCAACCCCAAAUGGCAUGCCAUAGUAGACCAAUCCAAUGCCAGUUCCAAGUGUUAUAACAGCCAAUAUUCUUUUAAAUGCCCAUGUUUUCUCAAAAAGUGUCUUCAUAGAUGAGAAUAUAGUUGUAGUUUUGGGGUGAUUUUUGUUUUCUUGCUCAUGGGCAAGCUUAGCAAGUACACGGUCAAGCUCGUCUUCCACUGCUGAUCCAAUUUGUUUUAGUACUGAGCACUGACAUUGCUUCGUCCUCGAAGCUGCGCAUGAAGAGCCAUCUUGGGGACUCGGUGACAAAAAAAAUGAAGCAAUGAGCAGUAAAAGAUGCCUGGAAUUGAUGUCCAAAGAUACAGAACUCUCCAAAUAGAAAAUCUAUUUAUGUAUGCUAUAAGUGGCAAGGACAAAAAACCACAGGUAAAGAAAAAGAAUCCCAGGAUUCCUACUCUUCCUCUCCAUUGUUCACCUACCUUUUCUGUUAGCAAAACAAGGGCACAUGUCCCAAUCGAUGCGCAGCCAAACCCGGAUAUAAAUCUCAGGGCAGAGUAGGUCCAAAUGUUGUUGGCGAAGCUGGUUAUGAGUGCAGCAACAGACAUGAUCAGGCAUGAGAUCAAGAGCAGGUUCUUGCGGCCGAGCGAUGAAUCAGCAAGUGUGCCUAGGAUAAGGCCACCUAUAAGGCACCCCAUGAAGAAAGAUGAGGCAGGUAGGCCUGUGAUGAAUGAGCUAGCACAUUCAAGGGACCAUUCUGAUAUGGUGGUCUCUGAGGCAGGGCCAUUCCAAUGCCCAAGCAGAGCUGGGAAGUGCACAAAUGGAAGAGGUAGAGCUGCAUGUAGUGGAAUUGGUGGUGCGGUUGGGCAUCUGUGUAGACACUUAUAACUGUUGCCCAUCACAAACCCAAGCCAAUGACACCACAAUGGAUUGGAAGAGUUGUGCCCAGUUGAAUGCCACAAGACUUUGCUCAGUCAUUUUGUUGAGGGAUUGGAAAUUUUUUGUGUUGGGACUUAGAUUUUCUGGCUCAGAGUAAUUGGAAGGAGGUAGAGGAGAUGUUGGAUCAUCCAUGUGCUUGGUGCACAUGGAUGCUUGUAGAGAGAAACAGAAUUCUAGGCUAGCUAUUGCCAUGGGGUUUAUUAGAAUCUACCCUUGAAAGGGUUUAUAAAGUAGAAACAAUUUGACAACCAAGGAAUUUGAAUCUCCCCUUGAUUCUCCAAUUAAUUUACCUUAACACUAAUGUCAAUCUGAGAUUUCUUUCAUUUUUUGUAGUUGAUUGAUUCCUUCAUUUUGCAUCCUCGUUUGCUGUACUUCCUAUAAGUAAACAGCUUGGGAACUCUUUGCUAUUUCAGAAUAAUGGGGAAUGCCAGUGAUGUCCUCAUUUUAAGGUUAUUAUUUAAGGAUCAUCUCUGUAAUUUAUACUUACUAAUCACCCCUUAGCUAUCUUGUUUAAGUCAAGAACUUGCAUCUCAGCAAUUAAAUCAUAUACGGAUGACUACGAUACAUUUCAUUCAAUCUAAUUUAAACCCAGGAACAUUAACAUUGCAUAACAAACCACAUAAAUUGUCUACAACUACAAGGAAAACCAAUAUGUGUUCUUCCUUUAUUUGAUGGAUCAGUGAGUCCCUAUCAUUAUUCAAUGAGAAAAGAAAAGCUUCAUGGUCAAUUGAGACAUGAAUGGGCCAAGGAUUUCUCCUCAAUGAGCUCUUGUGCAGUUGCAUCCAGCUUCCCCCUCGAAAACUCAUCAAUCUUGAGCCCUGCAUUGAAAUAGGCAACGUCCAACUUUAACUAUCCAAUUUUAUUUGCCAGAACCAUUACUAGGAUUUGAAAGUGUUCCAUAAUCCUUAAUGACAGUAAUUUGUUGUUGCCAAAACAUGAUUCUGAGUUCAAAGCUCAGGUUUUAAAUGGCUGAAGGAAGUUAACAAUGGGCACUGAGUUCAAACUUACCCUGCACAAUUGACCAUUGUCCUUUUUCACAUGUAACUGGGAAAGAGUAUACGAGGCCUGGCUGGAUUCCAUAAGAGCCAUCGGAAUACACACCCAUGGAAACCCAUGAACCCUGAAUGACAUUCAAAGUAACAAAGAAAAAUAUUAAAUUUGUAUAGAAUUAUAUGAAGAAAAUAUAAAAAAAACCAUUAAUUUUGCAAGAACAAGAUACUGGUAAAGAUGACGAGAAACCUUAGGAGUCCCGAGGACCCAAUCACGUAUAUGAUCACAAGCAGAACUUGCAGCAGACAGUGCACUUGAUAGCUUCCUGGCCUUAAUAAUGGCUGCACCACGCUGCUGCACCGUGGUGAUGAACUCGGUAUUCAACCUAGAGAAUGAUAAAAUGGAUGAAGAAUUUGUGUAACAACUUAAAGAUUUAUACUAAAUUUCACAGGUCAGAAAUUUGAGAUGUACCAUUGAUCAUUAGCCACAAGUUCUCUGACAGGUUUAUCUCCACCGUUGACGGUGACAGUUGCAUGGUUGACAUCAGGAUACUGAGUUGAAGAGUGAUUGCCCCAGAUGAUAACAUUCUUCACAUCACCAACGUGAACAUUUAGCUUCUCAGAGAUUUGUCCUAAUGCCCUGUUGUGAUCCAGUCUUGUAAGGCAUGUGAUGUUUUUCUCUGGGAUUGAAGGUGCAAAUUCUUUCAAGAUAAGCGCAUUAGUGUUUGCUGGGUUGGCAACCACCAGCACCUGCAUGGUAGAAGAAAUGAAACUGCAUCAACUUAAGCAUAGCAACAUUUCGAUUUAAAGAAAAACACAGCAGUAAUAUCUCCAAAUUUUCAGCAUAAGGAUUAGGGAUGAACAUAAAAGAUAAUAAAAAAGUAACGUCGUGCACACAUUUCAUAUGGCUUCUCUCACCUUGACAUCUGCAGCAGCAUUCUUUUCUAACGCUGAAGCUUGAGCCUUGUAAAUCGAUACAUUUUUCGACAUCACAUCCUUUCUUUCCAUACCUUCCUUCCGUGGGAAUCCACCAACCAUAACAGCAAUAUUGACACCCUUACAAGCUUCCUGGAUAUCUGUUGUAGCAACAACACCUACAAACAUGUACAAGGUAAACCCUAAGAAUCCUCAAAAGGAGAAAUAUCAAUCUACCAUAAAUUAGUAUCCAAAAUCAGGCUUAACAAGCAUACCUCUGAGAAGAGGAAAGGCAGCAUCAAUCAAUUCCAUUUUCACCCCAUUCAAGGACUCAGCUGCAGGUUCAAUAUCAAGCAUGUGAAGAAUUACAGGCUGCUCAGGGCCAAGCAUGGCCCCCCUAGCAAUCAUUGGAACAAUAGCAUAGCCUAUUUGCCCUGUUGAAUAUAAUCAAAAUCCAAUAUUAUAUUAUAUUACACAUUAAUUAAAAAGGCAUAUCAAAGAAUCUAAGUUCACCACAGAAUUACAGCAAGAUGUAAUUCAAAUGCGAAAAAUGAGUCCUAAUAAUUCUGGGACACUCAACAUAAAAGCUUGUCCCUUUCCAUUAUUUUGUUAACUUGACAUACAAAUACUUGGAUACUUAGCCCAAUAUUUUCACAUCAUAAGACUGGAUAUCAUGAGCUUAUAAAUUCAGGAAAUAUUCCAAGAUGGUUUUGCGGCAAUGAGAAAUACAUGGCAUCUGAAUUUUGCAUCGGAACUGUUAUAAGAAAAUGAACUUGUAAUUUUUUUUUAUAAAUUUUUUAAAACAGGGGGGGGAUGGGGAAGAAAUAAAAGGAUUGAUUUGAGCAUGCCUGCAGCACCAGUAACCAAUACAGUCACAGGCUCCUUCUCCAUGCUCAAGAAACUCCACAUGUAUUUUACAAGCUUCCAAAAGAAGGCAAUAGUGAACAGAACAACCAGGAUUUUCUGAAAAAGAACAAUAUUCUCCAUUUUCUCAAAAACAGACAGAUGCAACCUGUUAAAAUCAAGACAAUCCAAUCCUAUGUUUUUAUAUAGGUGAAAGAGUACCAUGAUUGAAACAAAGAAUCUACAGGGAACCUCCAGAACAAGGCAAUCAGAUGCCAAAACAAAGUCCACAAGAUACUUAGAAAUACAGAACAUAUCAAAUUAUUCCAAAGAACAGAACCAAACCCUCUGUUUGGUCUCCUCCUAAACCAAGGAAUACAAAAAAUUAAUAAAAAUAACAAUCUCAAAUCCAUGCUUGUUGAAGAAUUUUAGUGAUCUCAUACCAGCAGCACCAGUGACAAGAACUCGAACUGGGUCUUUCGCCAUUGCUGCAAAGUGUGGUUUUGGAUAAAGAAAAUGGGUUUUUAGGAACAAGAACAAUAGAGAAAAAUGGCGAUGAGACUGUUGAAAACAGGGGUGGUUUAAUAAGGAUGGGAACUAAUGAAAAUGAGGUUGAGAAAGAGAAGGAGAUGAGGAUUUGGAAGAUUCAGAGUGACGGAAAUCGAGGGUAGAGAUAAGCGUGAUGAUAGGAAGACUGCCAACUUCCAUACUUACGCAGAGAACAGAAAUUGGCACCAUGCAAACACUAAGAAACGUCCACUUGUAAGUAACCAUUUCAUCUCAACGACCAUGUCAUCUUGGUAAUUUUUUGCCCUACUUUUCAACAAAUUACGUCUCAUUUUACACAUCACACAUUUCCUUUUCACUCUAAUACUCUUUGGGCUCGUUUGGUACACAAGACUGUCUUGGCAUGGACUAUGUUUAGGGACUAGCUUGGCUUGGCUUGGCUUGGUCUAAGUUGGAUAACACUUAUCCUGCGUUUGGUGUAUGCUUGGACUAGGACUAUAAUUUUUUUAUUUUUUCAAAAAUAUAUAUAUGUAUAUAAGUAUAUUAUAAUAAUAUUAUAUAUUUUAAAUAAUAUAAACGUACAUACAUAUAUAUAUAUAUAAGUGUAUAUAGAUGUAUAUAUGUAUAUUAUAAUAUACAUGGGUAUAAUACAUAUACAUAUAUUUAUAUAUAUGUAUGUAUAUUAUAAUAUAAUAUAUAUAUAUGGGUAUGUUAUAAUAAUAAUAAUAAUAUACAUGUAUAUACGUGUAUAUAUGUAUAUUAUAUAUGUAUGUAUAUAUACAUAUAUAUUAUAUAUAUUAUAAAAUAUAUAUGUAUAUAUAAUAUAUGUAUAAUAUAUGUAUAUAUAUUAUAUAUUAUAACAUACAUAUAUAUACGUAUAUACAUGUAUAUAAUAUAUGUGUAUAUAGGUGUAUCUAUAUAUUAUAAUAUAUACAUGGGUAUAAUACAUAUACAUAUACAUAUGUAUAUUAUAUUAGAUAAUAUAUAUGGGUAUGUUAUAAUAAUAAUAUACAUGUAUAUACGUGUAUAUAUGUAUAUUAUAAUAUAUAUACAUAUAUAUAUUCCAUUUCUUUUUUAUACAUAUAUAUAUUAUAAUAUAUAUACAUAUAUAUAGCAUCAAUAAUAUACAUGUAGGUUAUUCUUUUUUAUUUUUGUCACUAUAAAAUCUUCUCCCAUUGUGUGGAAGGUUUAGUGGCAACCAAUAUUUGGUUAUACGAAUUAAACUAUAAUAAAAUAAAAUUCAUAUUCAACGUUAUAUGUGACAAAAAGCAGUGACAGAUCCAAAAAUUUGUUAAUUCGAGGUAUAAAAUAAAGUACUCAUCACUCUGUGUGACAAAAAGCAGUGACAGAUCCAAAAAUUUGUUAAUUCGAGGUAUAAAAUAAAGUACUCAUCACUCUGUCAUUGAAGAUCAAUACUCUUUCUAUGGAUCCCCUAUUGGAGUAAAGUUGCAAUUUAAAAUUUUGUAAAUACAUCUCUUAUUUCAUUAUUACUCGAGUUUGGAUUGAUUUGGUGAAUCAUUUUUUAUCAUUUAGUGAGCUAAGUUGAACUACGUGAAGGCCGAGACUAGUAACGAACAAUAUAAUUGACUUAGCUAGCGAUAUGGAUUAGAUAACACCAAGUUUUUUUUUUUUUUUUGGAGAAUUGCAAAUUAUUCUCCACUCUAAAUGGUGAGGCACGUCGUUCGAGUAGGCAACUUUAUCAAUAACAAAUUAAGGCCUAUGUUUUUUAUUUCUUUUGCCCCAACUCCAUGUGAAUGAAAGUUCUUUGCAAUCGACUAUUAGAUUCGUAAUCAGGUUCGGAGGAAUUAAAUUGAGAAAGAAUUGAAUUGAUGAGUUGGACUGAAGAGGACUUGGAAUCCAAUUUCUCAUUAAAGUUGUUUACUAAACUAUAUGGAAUUGGAUUUAGAGUGAAAAGUCUAUAUCUUACUAGUAAGUUAGAGUGAAAAGUCUAUAUCCUUAUUUUGUGUGGACCUCGUUUACUUUUUGUUAUUCUAUUUGUAGUAAACACAUGAGUAAUCCGUAAUUCGAAUUCAACUCUUUAUUUUAAUUCUCAUCACAAAUUAAUAAAGAUGUCACGAGAGUAAUACAAUUAAUCUUGUUGAAGCAUGGGGUGCAAUUUUAUCCAACCCAUAAAAGACAGAGCACAUGCCAAUUGCCAACCCAACAAAAUCAACCAAUACAUUACAAAAGAUCUAGUUUUAUUAUAAUAAACUAAGCAUGUGACAAAAAAAAUUUGACCUCUCAUCCCAAAAUCAUAUUCUCUUUGCCUUCUUGUUCUUCCAUGGUGUCACAAAGCGUUCCUCCCCUUGUGUCUGGCAAACAAGCCACAAAAAACCCAGAAAAAAAUAUAGCCAACCCAAAAACUCCAUAAGAAAGAAACCCAUUGUUGCUCCCUACAGAAACCAGUAUUGAACUGAACACAGCACUCAGCACAUAAGAUUGCCUCAGCAGAGAUGUAGCAGAAUUUCUCACACAAGUUGGAAACAACUCAACUGUAAACAUGGAGAUCAAAUUCCAUGCUGUUCUUGAACAGAAGAAAGAAGCCAAUUCCAGCCCAAUUCUAAUACCCUUUUGCCCAUUUCCAACAAUUGCACACAAAAUGCCACAUAUCCCACUUACCAAACAAAAUGCAAGCACUGAAUAUUUCCUGCUCCAUCUUUCUAAAAUGAUGCAAGUGAUUGGAUAUGAAGGUAUUUCUAGCAAAGCAUUGAACAUGACACUUAGAUAAAUAUUGAAGCCUAAAUUUCCAACUCCUAAUGGCAUGCCAUAAUAAACCAUUCCAAUGCCAAAACCAAGUACCAUAACUGUUAGUGUUCUCUUCAUAGCCCAUCUUUUGGCAAACAAGUCCUUCAUUGACUUGUAUGGGUGAUUUUUAGUCUUUGAAGUUUCCUCCACCCCCUCAGAUGGCAUGCCUGUUGAGACCAACAACAAUUUCAACUCACUUGGGUAGUUUGGUGCUGAAGAUUUUUCCAGUAUUGCUAUGGCUUCUUCCACAAAACCAUGCAUAUAAAGCCAUCUUGGAGACUCAGUUACAAAGAAUUGAAGCAAUAUGCAGUAAAGAAUUGCAGGAAUUGAAGUGCACAAAUACAGAGCUCUCCAUGAGUUAUCUCUGUUAACAUAAGCAAUCAAUGGCAAUGACAAAAACCCCAGAGUGAAAAAAAAGAACUGCAUAAUUCCCAAUCUAGGCCUCCAUUUUUUUCCAACUUUUUCCAUCAACAACACAAGAACACAUGUACUGAUUGACGAGCGGCCGAACCCGCUAACAAAUCUCACUGCAGAGUAAACCCAAAUGUUUGGGGAGAAGAUGGUAAGAAAAGAAGCUAAAGACAUUGUGAUGCUUGAGAUCAAGAGCAGCUUCUUGCGGCCAAGUGAAGAGUCAGCUAGAGUGCCUAGAAGGAACCCACCAACCACACCACCCAAGAAAUAAGAUGAGGCAGGGAUGCCUCUGAUGAAAGAGCUUGAACAUUGCAGGUCCCAAUCAGAUAUGAUUGUGAGGGAGGAAAUUGCAUCCCAGGACCAAUCAGAGCUGGGAAGAUCACAGAUGCUGGAGCUUGUGGUGCAUGAUGAUGAUGAUGAUGUGGUGGCAGUGGAGCAGUGCCAUGAAGGCACAGCAUCUGUGUAGACACUGAUGAAUGUUUGUUGGCCAUCAAAAAGUGAAGCCAAAGAGACAAGGAUGGCUUGCAAGAACUGCUUCCACCCAAAACUUGAUUGACUCUGCUCAAUUAUUUGAUCCAAGGAGUCAAGGAGAUUGUUUCUUAGAGUUUCUUGGUCUUCCAUGUUUGAUGGAGGCACAGAAUAGGGGUUGAAUCAACAAUGGGAUAUAUAAAUUGUAGUUGUUAGCUAACAUAUAAGAAUAUUUCUGUGUAGUGGAUUUGACAGCUGGGUGGAGGCAAAACAUCUACUUGUCGUUUUCCAUGUAGUCAUUUGUUUUCAUAGACAUAAGGUGUGCACUAUAUAAAAUAUCUAAGCUUAUUAGCGAUUUCUACUUACCUGCAAAUUAGUUUGUGUAUUUUAUCAUACUGUCAUUUGCAAGAACGAAAUGAUCCAAACACUAACGGUGAACUUUCACUUUCAUAUAUUUAAGUUUCUUAUCUUGUACCUUGUCAAAAAUUAGAAAACUAAAACAAACAUUGGUUGUCGGUACACAUGACAGAGUAAUACAAUUUAAGGAUUAAUCCAAGAAAGAGGCCCGAGGGGUUUGUGUCACAAGGGAUGUGGAUGGCAAAGUGCCUUAACAUUUACAAGUUGUGAGGGCAGAGUUCGAGUCUUUCUGUGUCCCUUGGGUUAACAAAAAGGCAAAGAUUAUGUAAAAACAAAAUGAGGGAAAGAUGUAUUUGUCCUUGAUGGUGCACUUUUCCGAAAAUUCUAACCAUGGCCCCCAUUUGUAGAGAAUAACUUACAUGGAAUAUCACGUCAUAUCGAGAAGUUAGAAACACGUAAAAAGAGGUGAUUGAGUCGGAAUAGCACCGUAGUGGCACCCCGGUAUAGCUAACCCAACCCAAAGAAACGGUGAAUUCUAUACGGCACCCAUUGAUGUACUCAAUGCACCCAGUAUACAAAGAAAUUGCUAAAAAUCCCAACUUUAUCUCAGUGCACUCAAAAUUCCAUAAAUCCCAACUUUACAGAGAGCUGAAAGAAGAUUGAGUCCAAAAAAAAAAAAAAAAAAAGAGAGCUGAAAGAAGAGAAACCGGCCAGCCACGGCAUCACAAAGCUUAGACCGGUUGGUCGAAAAACUCUCUUCUUCUACGCUGUCUCUAAAUUUGAGUCCAUAUCCGCCGUCGGCUUCAGAGAUGAAUUGCAGCUCUCAGAAUUUGUCAUAUGGGACUAUAAGCUUUGCUUUCUUCUGUUCUUCUGUGGAAAAGGAAUGGACUUGCCUCCCAAAGUGUGGCCCUUGCGGAUUUCCUUCAACCCAAAAUAAAAAAUUUCAAGAUUUCCACAUUCAACCCAAAAUGUGGCCAUCAAUUGCAGCUCUUUGAUUCUUUUCCGGUAUGUCACAGUCUUGUUCUAGUAAUUAAUUUAUUCUUGUGUAAACUUAGCACUGUGAUUUCAUUUAAAUUAUCAAUUUGUAGCAGCAUAGUCUGCAAUGUGCUAAGCUUCCCUUGAUGAUGAGUAAGGCAUGGAGUGGUGAGAAAAUUGUUAGUCACAGAAUUUUUGGUUUUUGGUUUUGAAAAUGGCAGUGAUAGAAAAUUGGGUGUAUGGAUUGUUGUCAAUAAAACAUUGCUUCUAGGAGAAAUUCAAAGAAAAAAAAUAAAGUAAACAAGAAGAUGACAGGGAAAACACAACGUAGGUGUAUUUGGACCAUUUAAUGUCAUAUCAUUAGCUAGGAACUAGAAACUAUACUGGCUUGGCUUCAAUUGGUUUAAGCUGGGCUAAUGCUAUCUUGAACAAAACAAUUAGUCAUUCAUCCGUAUCAACUAUUGUAAACAGAAUUUUUUUGUUUUUUUUUUGUGUGGAGAUUACUGUAAAGAGAUACUCAUCAACAUUAUCUCAACAUAAUGCAUUGAUCAUAGUCAUUUAUAAUAGCCCGUUGUGCUGAUUAUAUGUGCUUAAUUAGGGUGAGCAAUACCCUACAAAACAAAGCAAUUCACUAGCAGUGCUGCAGUAUAAUGUCAUACACUAAUAUUGAUCUGCUCUUCAUUCUCCUAGCGCUCUUGCUCAUCCAUGCUGUCACGGAGAGCCACGCCUUUUGUUUCUGGCAACGCAAACACAAACACCCCACAACAAAUAAUCACAACCCCGAAAACUCCAUACGACAAAAACUGACUGUAAUUCCUCCCAGCUGAAAUCAACACUGGCCUAAAAAUGGCCCCCAAGCACCAGCCCUUGCCUCACCAUGGGCGUGGUUGAGUUCCUCACACACGUCAGAAAUGGCUCCAAUGUGUAAAUCAUUAAGAUGGAAAACACUGUGUUGGCACUGAAAAACGACCCUAUUUGCAAGGCCUUCUAUUUGGAGCUAACCACCACACACAUUAUGCUGCAAACCCCACUUAUCAUUAUAAAUGUUAGCAAUGAGCUCUUUCUGUUCCGUUGUCCUAUGAAAAAUAAAGUGAGAGCGAAGGAGGGUAUCUCAGACAUUGCAUUGAAUGUCAGAGUAAGGUACAUAUAUAUUGAAUCCAAAGUUCCCAACCCCCAAAACGCAUGUCGUAGUAAACCAUUCCAACCCCAAAACCAACUGCCAUCAGUGCAAGUGUUCGACGAAAUGCCCAUUUUUUCUCAAACAUGUUCUUCAAUGAUGAGAAUAGAUCCACUUCAGCCGAUUCCUCCAAGAGCGCCAGGAUGCAAGAUACGUACAAGUUCAAGCUGUCAAUAAAUUAGAAAUGAAUCUAAACUACACAUUCAGAAAAGAAUCAAACUUACGUUGUGAGACUGUGAAUUUGUGCACAUUGGACUCGCAACAUUUGGGCUAGAAAGAAAAUUUUGUGCACAUUGGAACACUCAAAUUUGUGCACAGCAUAUGUAUAGACACUCUGAUGAAUGUUUGUUGGCCAUCAAAGAGUGAGGCCAAAGAGACAAGGAUGGCUUGCAAGAACUUCUUCCACCCAAAACUUGAUUCACUCUGCUAAAUUAUUUGAUCCAAGGAGUGAAGAAGAUUGUUUCUUAGAGUUUCCUGGUCUUCCAUGUUUGAUGGAGGCAGAAGAGGAGUUGGAUCAGCCACAUGGGAUAUUUAAAUCAUAGUUGCUAGCUAACAUAUAAGAAUAGUUCCAUAUAGUCUUUCUUUUCUUUUUUUUGGUGGUGAAAAUAGUCAUUUGUUUUCAAAGACAUAAGAUGUGCACUUUCUGCCCAAAAACAAAGGGGUGUGCACUUUAUAAAAUAUCUAAGCUUAUUAGCGAUUUAUACUUACCUGCAAAUUAAGAUUAUAGUUUGCAUAUUAUGUUAAAUUGUGAUUUGCAAGAAUGAAAUGAGCCAAUCACUAACUGCGCACUUUCACUUUCAAUAUUUAAGUUUCUUAUCUUGUCCCUUGCGAUAAAUUAAAAUAAACAUUGGUUGUCAGUCCACAUCACAGAGUAAUACAAUUUAAUGAUUAAUCAAAGAAGGCGGCCAAGUGGAUGUCACAAGGGAUGUGAUGGCAACGUGCCUGAACGUUUCCAAGUAGUGAGGGCAGAGUUAAAGUCUGGGUUAACAAAAAGGAAAAUAUCAUAGAAGAGAAAUUUAGGUUCCCCUUAGAGAAAGAAUAGUACUGGUGAUUAGCCCCCAUUGUACCCACCCAAAAAAAAAAAAAAAAAAAAACAGAACAGUACUGGUGAUGACUAAGGUAUGGUUUGGUGAGAAAAUUAAUAACCAAGACCAAGUUCAUAUGAUUAGCUGGGGAGCUGAAAGAUAACUUGUCCACCACACUGCGAUUUUUCAACAACCUCUAUCUUUUUCUCUCUCUCUCUCUCUCUCUCCCAUUAUUGACCUUCCUAAAACCACUUCUACACUAAUCCCAUACCUUGUUUUUAAUGUUUUCAAUCUAGGUGGGAUGGAAAUCAGAUAAUUCAAGAAAGAAAAAAAGCAAAGGACCGGUCCUGGAAGGUUUAUUUUUUCUUUUCCUCUGUAAAUUUCCUUCGAUUUCUCAGUAACCAAACAGAGGUAUUAGUCUUCUCUGUCUCAAAGUAAUCUUGACAGGCCGUUGAGUUUCAGGGAUGAGGUUGCACAACAGCAAUGUCUAUGAUGAGCCCAUAAAGGUAUUGAUCACUCAAAACUUGAUCAUAAGUUCAUAACCAUAGGUAGACAUAGACAAGCUAGCCAAAAAAAAUUAUUGCAUAUUUCUUGAUUGGUAGCGUUAAUUUUGAAUUGAAUUUAUAAUUAGCUAGUUUCUUCUUUAGGGUACUUCAGAAUCAGUAGAGUGGAUAUUUUUAGUCACUAGCCUUGGCCUAGAGAUGUUGUCAGCUGCUUUUGAUCAGGCUUCCUCCCCGACAAAACCGCACUAUGCGCUAUUUGGUGUGCUGUUGGCUACUGCAGCUUUACUUAUUUCCAUCUGGGAGCUAAUUUAUAAUGGUAGAAAGGAAAGAGUUGUGCUAAGGAGAUGGGGAAGGCUCUGGUGGUUUUAUUAUCCACCUCCUCGGAACGCAUUUUUCAGUACUCUUCCUGACAUUUAUGGACUAGUUGGCGGCAUCUCGCAGUGCAUUUGCUCUGUAGUUCAGUACAUGUACUACCUUCGGCAUGCCGAUAAUCCUAUCAAAGUAUCCAUUUUGCCUGCCAUAUUUCUUAGGUGCUUAGGUGGUUCAAAACUAAAUAGGAAUCAGCGGAACAUGAACACCAUCGAACAUAAGAUGUUUAGGAAAAGGCAACUCUUGCACAGUGAGUCUAUCUAAAUAUGUGGUGAGCAAAUCCAACCAGGAAACUAGAGUUUCUUUUAGACAGGGGAAGCAAAUAUUGCAUCGACACAUUUUGAGAUAAAAUCUCACACCUGGACGAGUUCAUGUGUGUUAUGAACAAAUAAAAUACUGAGAAUUAAAAUGGGAUCCUGUGAAUGACAAUUUUCUAGCUAGGUAAAUCCAUGCGAAUUAUCUUUGAUAUAAUGCAGAGUUAAGGAGGUUGUUCCUCAUGAGUGUCUGGAUCUUCCACAUUGGAUGGAGGCAAAACCGGGUUUGGAUCAUCAACCAUGGUCGGUUUUGAUCAUCAACCAUGGUAUUCUUACUUUAAAAUGUUUACAACUCAAAGAUGUACAUGUCUUUUCCAGAUAGUCACUAGCAAAGGUGCCCGUGUGCAAUGCUGCGGGUAUUAAAACCCUAUAAUAUAUAUAAAAAGUUGAAAAAAGGGAUAGGAAACACAAUGUUAUUUACAUGUGAAAGUUUAAGUUACAAAAGAUAGAUUAGUAACAUGUUAUGUAUGCGAAGUAGUGUUUAAAAACCUAUUACUGCUGUUGCAAUAGAUAGAUAGAUAAAUAACAUGUUUUAUACGCUAAGAUAUACACUGAUUGGUGGCAGAACUUCUCUCUUCAUUGGUUCUUGGUUUUUCAUAUGUUUUCAUGAGCUAAUAAACUUUUUUUUGCAAUCGAAUUGUAGUUGAAGACAACCAUGAGAAAAAGAAACUGUCCCCAAAUUCAACACAAUGAACUAUCACUUAAUAUAGAGAAAUUGAGUGGGGAAAGAAACUAUGAACAAUGAAAAACUAUGUGAGUAUUGCCUUAUUUAAACAGAAAUGGAAGCAAAAGUUUAUACUCUGCAGCCACCAAAAGAGUAUAUAUCCUAAACCCUUUCAGUAAAUUCCUUAUAUGUACCAGAUUUCAACCAUCUUUACCAAAUGCACAAAUGGGUAGCCCCAAAUCCCAGUUGUCAAGUCUCAAAGGAAGGCAAACAAUGCAAAACCAAAUAAAACAGCAUCUGGGUAAGACAUUCAUACCAAAAUUCCAAGUUAGAUCAAAUUUGUAGAAUAAUGUUAGAUCAAAUUUGUAGAAUAAUGUUUUUAGGGUCUUUGAUUAUUAGUGGAGGAGAAAUGAUAAUUGCAUGCUAUCAUGAUGUAAAGCGUUUAACAACAGAGGUUUAAAUUGUUGUUUAACAUUUUAGUAGAAACAUAAACACUUGUUCAACAGAAUAGAAUGAAUGGGCAUGAUGGGGCAUUUCCAAAUGGGUUAACUUUUUCCUACAAUUUGCUUCUACCUGUUUAUUUAAACAAUUUCUUGAAGGAUCCAAGCCAAUGUGGGCAUUUGUGUUAUAAACAAAGGAAAUACGUACUGAGAAUUGCAUUGCGGUCCUGUGCAGGACAAGUUUUUAGCUAGGUAAGUUUUUCCCUCUUGUAGAUCCAUGUUAAUUAACUUUCAUAUAUGCAGGCUUAUAAAUGUCAUCAAGAAGGAAGGCUCUUGGACUUGGUUGACAAAAGUUUGUAUACUUACCAUACAAAACAGAAGCCUUCACCAUCUUAAAUUUAGCAGUGAAGUGCACCAGUAUAUCCCCUACUCUCAGGCCUACAAUGUCUGAAACAAAUGUAUCAUAUCAAUGUCUCAUAACUAUGUAUCUACCUUAACGACAACAUCCCGUACAUCAUAAUUGUCACACUCUAGAAAAUGUUGCCUCAUAACCGAUCUAAGGGUAGAUACAUAGUUAUGAGACAUCGAACUUAUACAUUUGUUUCAAUCAUAUCCCCAUAGUUAGCAUUAGUCGUUCUCAAUUUGUUGCCAUUAUACUAGCACCCUUAACAUUCUAAGCAUGCUUUAGUUUGUUCAUUUUUUCUCAGUUCUGUGUUUUUUUACCUUUCAACCUUGAUAAACCCUUUCUCAAGGCAAAAUGUUGCACCGAAACUGUGAAAUUUGUACCGGGAGGCCAUGGAUAAAUGUUUACCGUCCAUCAAAGGCUUUCAAAGAGACAAGGAUGGCUUGGCAGAAGUGCUUCCACCCAAAACUAAAGUUUCAGGCUCCAUUAUUUCAUCUGAUUGAAGGGCGUUUUCUCAGAGUAUCUGUAUCUCCAUAUUGGAUGGAGGCACAAGCGGGUUUGGAUCAGCCAUGGGAUACUGCUAGUACAUAUACUAAAAUUUUCGGCUUGCACAUUAAAAUGUUUAGAACUCAAAGAUCUACUUUGUCUUUCCAAGAUGGUCAUUGAUUCUUUCUUGACACAAAGUACGGACUUUUUGUUAAACUAAGUUAUCUGUUGGCCUGUCCUGUUUGUUAGUACAUUGUUACUUUCAAUGACUAUGCUGGCUUGGCUUCAAUUGGUCUAAACUGGACUAAUACUAUUCUAAACAAUUUAUAUCUGUCGUUCACCGAGCACAAAAGAGUGAACAUGGAGAAACAUAUUGUAAUAAAGAGAUACUCAUCAACAUUAAUUCAACACAAUGCUUAACUGGUGAUCAAUAGCCUACAAAACAAAGCAAUUCUCUAGGAGUUUUUAAUGUCAAAUACUAGUAUUGAUCUGGUCUGUAACCUCCUUGCGCUCUUGCUCAUCCAUGGUGUCACAGAGAGCCACGCCUUUUGUUUCCGGCAACGGAAACACAAACACCCCACAACAAAUAAUCACAACCCCAAAAACUCCAUAUGAAAAAAACUCAUUGUAAUUUCUCCCAGCUGAAAUCAACACCGGACUAAAAAUGGCCCCAAUCACCAGCCCUUGCCUCACCAUGGACGUGGCUGAGUUCCUCACACACGUCGGAAAUAGCUCCAAUGUGUAAAUCAUUAAGAUGGAAAAAGCUGUGUUGGCGCUGAAAAACGACACUAUUUCCAACCCUAUCUGCAUCCAUUUGGAGCUAACUACCGCACACAUUAUGCUACAAACCCCACUUGUCAUCAUAAAUGUUAGCAAUGAGCUCUUUCUGUUCCAUUUUCCUAUGAAAAAUAAAGUGAGAGCGAAGGAAGGUAUCUCAGACAUUGCAUUCAAUGUCAGACUAAGGUAGAUAUUGAAUCCCAAGUUCCCAACCCCCAAUGGCAUGCCGUAGUAAACCAUUCCUACCCCAAAACCAACUGACAUCAGGGCAAGUGUUCGACGAAAUGCCCACUUUUUCUCAAACAAGUUCUUCACUGACGAGAAUAGAUCUACUUCAGCCGAUUCCUCCAAGAGUGGGAUGCUGGAUAAGUACAGGUUCAAGCUGUGAAAAAAAUUAGAAAGCACAUAUGUAGUCAUGAAUCUAAACCGCACAUUCAGAAAAUAAUCAAACUUAUGUUGUGAGACUGCGAAUCUGUGAACAUGGACACAACCUUAAAGUUAGAAAGAAAAAAUAUAUAUUUAUUGUAUAAGUAUCUUAUGUUGCCAAACCUGCUAUGAUUCCAAUGUCCAAGUCUUCCUAGUGUAGCCACGGCCUCAUCUUUACGACCCCGAGUGAACAGCCAUUUGGGAGACUCACUCACAAACAAAAAGACUAACACACAAUACAAGAUGCCAGGAACUGAAGUCCACAUAUAUAAUGUUCUCCAUGAGGAGUGUCUGUUAACGUAAGCUAUACCUGGUAGUGACAAGAACCCAAAUGUGAAGCAAAAGAACCCGGCAAUCCCAAUUCGACCACGCCAUUUUCUGCUCACGAUUUCGGUGGAUAGAACCAGUGCACAGGCACCGAUAGAAGCACGCCCGAAUCCGCUGAUAAAUCUCAACCCGGCAUAUACAAAAACGUUUGUUGAAAACGCGGUUAUGAGUGAAGCCACGCACAUGGUGAAGCACGAGAGGAAGAGCAAGUUCCUUCGGCCAAGUGAUGAGUCAGCGAGUGUUGCCAAAAUGAACCCCCCCAGUAAGCAACCAAAGAAGAAAGCUGAGGCCGGCAGGCCUGAGAUUAGGGACGAGGCACAUUGAAUGUUGAAGUCUGAGAUGAUGGUGGUGGAAGAAGGUCUGUCCCAAGCCCAUGCGGAGGUGGAGAGGUCGCAGAUGUUGGAGGUUGAACGACAUGUCGUGUUGGGAUAUUCGGUGCAGUGCCAUGUUGGUUCCGCGUCUGUGUAGACGGUUAUGAAGGUUUGUUGGCCAUCAAAGAACCAUGACAAGGAGACCACGAUGGCUUGGAGCAACUGUGGCCAGGCCGAGUUGGUUGUGACUCGUUCGAUGACUGAGUCGAGCGAUAUUGGGGGAGUGGAGAUGGGGUCGGAGGAGGUUGAGUGAGGCAAGAGUGGAGUUGGAUCUGCCAUGUAAUAUAUAGUCUGGUUGUGCUAGUGUGCUAAGCUAGAAUAUGAUCAAGUAAGGUAUACACUUAUAUAAACGGCUUAAUGUACAGUUUACUUGUGUUGACAUACUGUGAAUCUCGACUACAAAUUUAAAUAAAAUUCAUCGUCAACAAUAGUAAAUUUUCGAUUACAUUGAAGGAAAAGAGACUAAUGUACAUCCCACUUAUCUUCAACAAAAAUUUCCCAAAGCCACUCUUAUGCAUUUGUAUCUAUCUAUCAGUGUGUAGUGAAUGAUAUUCUAAUUGUGAAAGUGGAAUGCAUCCGUAAUGGUUAAUUUUGUAAAAACAAUCAACAAUAUGCCACUGCCAGCCAUGAGGUUUGCCAAAUCCAGGCUUUCAGUUGAGCCAUCACAUGUGCUACGUAGCCCUCCAUAUCUACUCAUAUCUUUGACUGGCUGGAUAUGGAUUUAAUUGUCAUCAAGUACAUAAAUGCAGCUCAUGCGAGAUUUGUUUAUUUCUUAUUCUACUCAUCGAGAAUGAUUAAUGAACCGAUCAGUGAUCUCAACUGAUGGAUGUACAAGAAUUUGAAAAAUAAAUUUGAGAAAACAUAGAUUUUCAAUGUAAUCUAGCAAUCAAUGUAGUCAUGACCCCUGUACACAUUCAUCAUUCUGGAAUUUGGUCCGAGAUAAUAUUUUUGAUCAGGGAAAAUGGUCCCGAAACUAAUUGUCACUAAACCCUUUUAUUUUGACCCAGGACCUAAUCACAUGUGGGAUAUUCUAUAAAUAAAUAAAUAAGCCAAAAUCACAUGUGGGAUGACUGUAUAUUAAGUCAGAGAAGAGAGACACUUGGUCCUUAAUUAAUAUUUUAGUUCAAUUUGACCAUUUUACCUUUCAAUUAAACUGCAAAAUUAACAAACUUUGAUGGUAAGACCAAUUUGACACUAAAUAGAGAGUUGUAGGACCAUUAAAAUGAAAAAAAUUAGUUGAAUGACCAAAAUGUGAAACUCAUACAUAAAUUUAGGCUCAUUUCAAUCAAAACCCUAAUCAUAGAGUUGCUUAAAAAUAUACACCCGAAAUUUUUGGGGUGAUUUUUGAAAUGACCUUUCAAUUUUUUCACAUUACUAUCUAAAGUUUUACGAUUAUAUCAAUUUUAUCCUUUUGAUUGUGUUCAUGUGUUAAUUGCAUACGUGACAAGUGCGAAGCCCAGUUUUCAAAGACAAUGAGACCACACCCUAGUACCUCGUUAAGGGCAUUUUCGGAAGAAUCUUUUCUCCUCCAAAUCAAAUGAAUUAAUUAAUGUUUGUAUAGAGAAUUAAUUUAAUUUAUUUGUCCUGGAUAAUUUUAUAAAUAGGUCAAAUGAAAUUACUUUGAUAGUUUAUGGUCGUAGGAUAAAUCUAUGCUUGGAAUUCAUUUUAAAUUAAAUUAAGUUGAGUUUUUGUUUGUUCUACCCCUGAAAAUUCAUCCGUGAUGGCCUGGUGUUGGCCACGAGAUUGUUUGUGUAGGCGUGUCAUUGUUGGUAACAAAAGCUCCAACAUAAAGUGAUUGAAAAAUAUAAAAUGCACUACAAUAUCGAUUCUAAUCAAUCGAUUGUGAAUUGGGUGAGGAACUGGCCCAAUAUAGGUUCUUCUCUAUGCCUCAAAAAGACUUCAAUAUUUUUCUAGUGCGAAGAUAAGAACAAGCAUAAAAUAAAAUUAACAUAAAUGAAAAUGAGAAACAAUGAGAUGGAGCUAAAGAUUUCUCGAUUUAGUUCAAUAUCGAUGCAAACUCAAAGUAAAUGACAUAUAGCUACACUAAAUUGAGGAUUUAUCUACUUCGUUCAUUGUAAAGACUUGAAAAGUACAUGACAGUAAUGAAAAUGAUGAAUGUUCAUAUGAAGAUUUCUCUAUUCAUAUAAACAUUUAAAUAAAAGUAAACAACAUAGCCUGAAGAUCUCUCUAUUCAAACUUGGUACAGAAAAAGUAAAGGAUUUGGCCUAGCUACUGGGAAUCAUACCAAGUGUUGGUAGAGCAUAAAAGUAAAAAGAUAACAAUCAGGAGUUGUAAACUAGUUAUCUUGAAAGAAAUGCAAGUUGUUUCAAGCUUGAGGUUUUCAAGUAUUGAAGACGUUGAGUUUGUUUGAGAGAUUUGUGUGUGUUAAUUGAUGACUUCUCUUUCUAUUUAUAGAGAAAAUGAGGUGGGUUAAGUGUUGGGACCAACAGCCAAUGAGAAGUACCUACUUGCCAUUGAUUUUGGUGAGUGGGUUGCUGAAAAUGCUAGCAAAACCAAAAAAGUUGCUUUGGUGUUGUUCCCUAAGUGAAGCUCCCUAGGUAAUUCAAAAUAUCUUCCAAGCCAAACUUGUUUUCCUCUUUCAGCAAGCAUACUUUAAUAUUUAUUUUUUGAGAGCGCUCAGGCCUUCACAUGUUGACUCAUUCACCGCAAUUGACUUAACAAAAAUUGGCCAACAUACCAUUUAGCUUCUUCUCCAAACCUGUUUUGAUGUGUGAUGACCCGAGCAAGCUAUAUUUAUCCAAAUGCUACUAAAUUUUAAUAUGUUGUUCUACACAUACGUAGGAACAACUUUUGUGAAGAACUCGAAUCCAUUUUAACACUCGAAAAUAUGAUUUCGCAUGACUACAACUGACUGACAGGUUCUCUUUUCUUUUUUAGCCUUAGAAUUGAAUAAAUCUAUAGAGGAUCAAGGGAAAGAAACAAGGGAAGGAGUGUAGAAAGAAAAACAAAAUUGGAAGUGUGAAAAUCACAAUCCUUUUACGCGCUCAUCACCUUAGUCCUUCGAUUAUCAUUAUCACACAAAUCGUUCGUGAAGAACAAUUUCCUCAAGAACUAAGUAAUUAUUGUAGUGUACUGUCUUCCUCUAUUCGAGUUCAAUCCCUUUCGCCGCACUAUUCCAAACAAGACAAUUUGCUGCCUAUACAUGAAAAAGUAUAUUCAAGACAAUUCCUUUUUCCGUCGUCCUUUAUGUUAAUUUAACCACACAAAAAUAUAUUCAACAUGUGCAUACCGUCCAAUAGCCUCAUUCCCACAUGUUCACUUUUUUAUAGUUUCUAAGAAUUAUAGAAAACUUAGGUAUGGCUUAGUUGGAGGUGCAUAUAUAUGUUCAUGUUUUCCCAAAAGUUAUCAUUUGGCUCAUAAUUGUAUUUAAUUAACACUAGAAUGGGCAUCAUCAUUCUAUUCUUUGGUUCACACAUAUAGUUCAGAAUUGCUCAUCUCAUCCCUCUUAUAAUAGAAUGAAUGCCCCACUCCAAAGAGGUAAGGAAUGAAGCAUUUCCAAAUGGGUAUUUUCCAAUAAUUUUACUUCAACCUAAUGAUUUAGAACUCUCUUGACCAAAACAUAAUGAUUUAAAAACUCUAAGUCCUAAACCUGAAUCUAAAACAUGGAUCACGAACUUCAAAUUUCAAACUAUAAAUCUAAAUUCAAAACACGAACCACAAACUUUAAAUUUCAAACUUGGAAUCUCGAGUCCUGAAUUCUAAACUCGAAUCUCAACACCUAGGACCUAAAAGUUAAAACCCCAAGCUUAGAGAAUCAGGACCCCAAACUCACAAGACUAGGAGAUUAAUUUUGUGAUGGUCUACUUUAAGAGAUGAACCAACAAAUUGAAACAAAUGCUUGCCUUCACAAGGACAUUGAUUGAUAAAGAAAUCAAGAAUGAAUGAGAGAGGUAGGCCCACUAUGAUCCAAAUCAUAAAUGUGAUGGUGCCCAUUGGCCAGUCCCAGUCCGAAGCCCAAGUGCCAUUAACAUUUCAUGGACCAAACAUGUAUCCAAAUCAAUCCAAUGUGGUGCAAUUUUUCCAACAACCUAUUAAGUUUCUAUGUUUAAAAAUAAAAUAGAGAAAGGAGAGAGAAAUGUUGUGGAUAAAAAUCCAAAAGUCUAAAGACAAUGAAACAUACCACAUGUGUUGAUGUGCACAAUUGCUUGAAGGAUCUAAGGCAAUGUGGGCAUUAUGUGCCUCUCCCAACCAAUGAAAGCCACACUUGAACCCUAAUAUAAUACGAACAAAGAGAGCUUGGCUUCAAAGAUCACUCAAACCUGAAAACCCAUCAACAUCAUCAAACCCCCAGUCCCCAUCCGCCGCUCCACCACCAUUCAUGCAACCUCCUCAACUCAAUCGGUCAUUCAUUUCCCUUGAUGCCGACCUUACACCAUCGCCACCACUUGCCACUUGCUCUCAUCUCCAUCUCCCUAAUUGGAUUUUGGACCAACAUCCGGCCCCACCCUCCUGUGGGCCCCCUUUUUUGCACUGUCAUUAUCAAACCCUCCACAGCCGGCCACGUUGACCAUCUGGGCUCGAGGUUAAAAUGGUAUAAUUUUGUGUUAUAUUAUGUGGGGUGGGGCCCAUUUUGGGAAGUGUGAGUUUUGUUGUUUGGACCGAGGACGAGAAUCAAAAGAGGAGAGGAAGAUACCGAGUACUAAACUAAAGUACUACUAAGUAAGGCGUGAUGAGAUUGAGAUCCUUGUUUUUGGAUUUGAUUUUGAUUAAUUUGAUCAGAGGCUCCGAGUAAUUAAUUAAUUAAUUAUGUGCAAAGAAGAUUUGGUAGAUUUGUCCUAUAUGGAAGUGGGUGCAGAGCCUGCAGUCAUUGAACCCACUUUACCAUAAUACCCUUGGGUAAAAUUCACUAAUAUUUACAAGAAAAUAUUGUCCCAUCAUCGAGUGUGAUUCAUAUGCUUCAUAUAAAGUGAAACAAAAUAAGUGUGGUUCAUAUGCUUUUUGUUCCCUUCUCAAAUAUAAUAUAUUAAACUUUAUAGGGAAUUAUCAAACCAAUAAUAUAUAAGUUUUAAGGCAACUUAUUGAGCGGCGAAAUCGUACUUCGAUUUAAAGUGGUCGUGACUUAUAAGUUUUAGCAUUUCAUCUAAUAAGGUAAAAUAUUGAAAGUUUUGUAUUAUUGGACUUACCUAUGGUUAUCAACAACAUUCUAUAAUCUUAACGAGUAUGUCAUUAAUUCAAGUGAAUGAAACUUAUAUGAUACUCAAAAUUUGUAUGGAUCGUGUGAACAUCUUUUGAGUCUCAUAUCAAUUAGGAAAAUUAGCUUAUAUAAACGAUUGUAACCUAUUAAUAGAUGACAAGUCAUUUUAGAGACUCAUGACUCUACGUAUAAAUCGUGAGUCAGACAUUAAAGGUUAAAAACAGAGGUUUAUCUCUAUGUUCAUGGAUAUGUCUCACCAGAACUAAGACAUUACCCCAAGAACUAAAACUAUCAUUGUGUUCAUACUACAAAAGUACAAAGUAUAUACCACACAGUGACUGUAUACUUGCUAGCAACAAGAGCAAGCCAAUAAACAGAAUCAGAGACAAUGCUUUUUGGUUUCCUUUAAAGGGUAUUAGGGUCUUUUAUCACUCAAGACAUGUAAAAGGGACUAGACCAAUCCACAUAGGCCCCCUCUCUCUCCCUCUCAGUUGGGUAAGAGAGAGGCUGAGCAGCUCAAGAGAAUAAUGAAUAUAGAAAUAAAACGACAAGAGAGAGAGACCUAAAGGGAGAAGAAUAAAGUAAUAGACAGGCCAACAUGCGAUAGUGUGGUUUUAUUAUAUUACUACCAUUCUCUGCCGUUGGACAGAUAAGCUGUCCCUUUUGUCUCAUCCCAUUACAAUACAGUAAAAUCCAAUCCAAUCCAAUCCUCCUCACUCUCCCAACCUUCCUAUAAUCUCUUCCUCUCUUAAAAAGCUCACAACCCUCAACCCCAUUUUGAUCAUUCUCUCUUUCCAUCUUCCAAAAACCAAGUAACUGAUUUAUGGGUUCCAAGGCAAGAAAGAAGCAGAUAUGGUGUCCACAGCCAUUGACGCCGCUCAUGGAAGGGCCAGACCCUGAAAUGCAAGAGGAAGGAGGCAAGAAGGAGAGCUCUUGGGAAGUCAUACGUGAAUGGUUUAGGGCACAGAAGGGUGGGCUUCCUAAUCCAGGGACUAAUUUAUCUACCUCAGGAUAUGGAAGUGGUGGUACUAUUCCUGCCAAAAGGCAAGACCUAAGGCUGUUGCUUGGUGUGUUAGGCUGUCCCCUUGCUCCAAUUCCCCAAGCCAAUGACCCAAUUGAUCAUCACCUCCUCCACAUCAAGGACAUCCCAUUUGUAAGAAAAUUCAAUUAUUUAUCUCACACAUUGGAUUAUAUACAUGUUUUGUUACUAAUAUUGAUUAGUUAAUUAAUGUUGGGUUUUUGAAAAAUAUUGUGUAGGAAACUUCUAUAGCGCAUUACAUUAUACAGCAGUACUUGGCAGCCACAGGGUGCUUGAAGCAACAGAAGUGCAACAAAAACAUGUAUGCAAGUGGAAGUGUGAAGAUGGUUUGUUGUGAAACAGAGGUUUCUGCCGGAAGAAAUGUCAAGACUCUAGGAACAAGAAGUGGGGAAAGUGGGUGCUUUGUUCUUUGGCAAAUGUUGCCUGGCAUGUGGUCUUUGGAAUUGGUGGUUGGAGGCAACAAGGUGGUGGCCGGUAGCGACGGCAAGACAGUUUGGAGGCACACCCCUUGGCUCGGUACUCAUGCAGCCAAAGGUCCUCAACGCCCUUUGCGCCGCCUCAUUCAGGUAUACAACGUUCUUCUCAUAAUAAUUUAAAAUCAUGCAAGAAUUUAGAAAAUUCUUUUAUAUUUGUGAUUUAAUUUGAACUAUAAAGAGGCAUGAACGAACCGUAACAUUCAAUUAUUCCAAAUAGCUUAGCUUUUGGGCUUUACCAAACAAAGAUAGAGAUUGAGGAACAAAUCACAAUCCCAAUAAAAUGGUAUGUGGCUGACAAUGAUAGAGAAACUGUCUCGUGCUUUACCCUACAGACUUCUUUCUUUUUGAACAGCUCCAAAGGGACCUAAGAACGGCACGUGAUUGCCGUUCUGACGUCAUCUAAGGUCAUAUUAUAUGAACAUCUUGGUCUUGGGAUUACCACAUACUGAACUAAAGUGUUUCUGUAUUAUUUGGUUGCUUUAACUUUUUCUUUUGCACUUUAGUGAAUGCUGCCGGAUCUAGUACAUUAUGGCUCCCUACUCUCUCUUUCUUUCUUUCUUCUUCUUCAUUCUUUUCUUUUUUCUUUUGCUUUAGAGAUGUUUCUUUUUGCACCAAAAUUAUAUUGGCUAAUAUAGUAUUGAUUGUCACACCUGCAAAAAUGUGUGGAUACCUGUCGUUCACAUGUGCAUGAGUGAUUGUGUCAUCGUUGUUAAUUUGCUCCAAAACAAGUAAUUUAAAAAAGUGAGGAUGUGCAUCAAGCAUUCAAUAUCACCAUUCACAAGCUUAACCUUCAUGUAUACUCAUAAACUUGAUCAGCUAUAUCUUAUGUUUUAUUGCAGGGCCUAGACCCAAAGAGCACAGCAAGCUUGUUUGCCAAGGCACAAUGCUUGGGGGAGAAAAGAAUCGGAGAGGAUGAUUGCUUUGUACUAAAAGUUUCUGCCGAUCGGGCGGCUGUGAUGGAGAGAAGUGAGGGUCCGGCAGAGGUGAUCAGGCAUGCAUUGUAUGGCUAUUUUUGCCAAAAGAGUGGCCUCCUCAUAUACUUAGAAGACUCACACCUCACUAGAGUUGAAGCCCCAGAAAAUGAAACCGUCUAUUGGGAGACCACCAUAGGAAGCAGCAUUGCAGACUAUAGGGAUGUGGAUGGUGUGCUCAUAGCUCAUCAGGGCCGUUCGAUCGCCACCGUCUUCCGGUGCGGUGAGGUGUCCAUGGAGUACACAAGGACUAGAAUGGAGGAAGCUUGGAGCAUUGAUGACGUUGUGUUUAACGUACCAGGGCUUUCCAUGGACUAUUUCAUUGCUCCUGCGGAUAUAUUGGACAGUACUCUACAAUCACCAUGAUUAACUCUUCUUAAGUACUGAUUAAAGCUUUAAUUAUUAGGAUGUUAGUUUGUUUCUAAUUACAAAAAAUAUUGGUGGUGGGUACACGUUGUUGAUGAUGUAAUAUUUUGGGUUUUUCUUCUUUUUCUUCAAGUGUAUUAUGUAAUAUGUAGUGGGCUUUGAAGUCAUGACCAAGCUUAAAAUGACAAAUUCAAGCAUGGGGUGGAAUAAGGGAUAUGUUGUUGUAUUCUAAUCUAAUGCCUUUUCUUUCUUUUUUUUCUUCAAGGAUAUGACCUUUUUUUAAUUUCAGUUUUUGGCAUAUGAUAGAAAUGCAAGGAUAUGUCGUGUGAGUAGGAAACAAAAGUUAUGUAUUCUAAUUCAUCACUUAUGGGUUCGAAUUUAAGAGAAUAUUUGCUACCUUGAAAGGAAAUGUUUUUUUGUCCAAAUGUCUUUGUCGCUUAUUCUGCAAUUUCUCACAAAACUUUUAUAAUAAAACUAUUUGUACCACGUUAGUAACAUCUCUUAUAAGUAGAGAUCACUGUGAGAGAUGUGACUAAUAAUAUAAUCAUUUAGCGUUCUCCAAAUUUUCAAUUUGGGGAGAUUAACAUGAAAUUAUUAUAAAAAUACCAUUUUGUCUCUGCAUUUAACAGAAAAUAUAACAAAAUUGACAGUAGGACCAUUUGUCUUAACGAAAGUGAAGUUGAAGGACCACAAGAAUCAUAUCAAAGUUUAAGAACCAAAAUGCGAAUCAUAUCAAAGUUUAGGGAUCAUUAGACCUAAAAACCCUAGUUUCUUUAUCCUCUUUGGUGGCACAUGUCUAGUUUACGUAUCCUUAUUUGGUAGCGUUGGCCCGAGUAAAUUGUACUUUCUUACCUUUAGACACUUGGGCCCAUACCUUAACCUGAACAACUGAGAAAAGAAAAGUGGAAAAGAGAGUUUGACUCCCUCAAACUUGGCCCAGUUAUGAAACCCGCCAUGUCCAUGUUCUCACAGGCCCAUACAUACAACUGAGAAGCUUUGUUUCCAGAAUAGCUAAAAUGGAGCUCUCUUUUUUUCUUUUGAUGAUAAGGGAGCUUCUGUUCAUACGAAUAAAUUUGACGUCAACAAAGUUUUUAACAAAAUUAAGCAAAAAAAAAGGUAAACAUGAAUAACAUAUUAAACAAAGGCACCAUCAUAUACACAUAAUAAUAUCAGAAAUGUAUGUUGUUAAUCAUCAUAAAGUGCGAUACAUGUACUACGUUCUUUCGAUUAUUUACUCUCCAAGUGUUGUUCCAGUCCCAUAUAUAUGAUCAAAAACUAAAUGAAUAGCUUUUAUAUCAAAGUUGAAUCAGGGACUAGGGAUUGUAGGUGGACAUCUCUAUAUACUAGCUUAAUUUAAGGUGUCUCUUUGUCUCCUUGUUCCCUUUUUCUUUAACAUCAAAACAAUAUAUAUUUCAGGUGUCUCUUUAUUUUCCAAUUCGGAUGUCUGUACGUUAUUAUUGUGCAUAUGCCAGUGUAAAUAGGAGGGAAAAUGAGGAGGAAUAGUAGAAAAUACAUUGCAUCCGUACAAUAAUAACGUCCGGAUGUCCACAUAGGAGACUUUAUGUAUAUAUGUUGGUAUCGAGAUGAUAUAUUGCAUGGAAGAAAUGUUGAUGGCUUCUUCUGUUUGCUCUUUUAUUUCUCUCUCUUUUGGUGGGGGGUGAAAACAUAGACAGCCAGUUCCAUGAGCUAGUUUAUAGGGGUCAAAAUAUGUGUACGAGAGAGAGAGAGAGAGAGAGAGAGAGAGAGAGAGAGAGAGAGAGAGAGAGAGAGCGAUCUAGAGUAAGGGUGUGGGGAGGGGGGAGGACAAAAGAAGCUUCUGGAGGAUACUUUGUAAGAAGCAGGAAAUUCUUUACUAGACCCAAAGUUGUCAAAUGAAGUAACAGAAUCCAAAGUACUGCAAAUGAUUUGCAUUUGCAUGGAAGGAUGUGCCUUGAACACCAUAUCAUUACCAUAAUCAUAUGCUGAUCAUGAUUCUGUGCAUAUAAAUCUAUAGCAAGAGAACCCAAAUAACAUUAUUGCAUGCAAACUGUGGUAAUAUUAUUAUUUUUUAAAUAAAAAUAAAUUAACCAAUCUAGCUAUACACACAUAUAUAUAGCCAUGAAUCAUCAUCAGCAGCAGCUUUUAAUGCAAUAAGGAGUAUCCCCUAGCUAGCUUUAACUUUGCCCACAUAAAGAUAGAAGCUUCCUCGAAAUCUGCACGCGUGGGAGUGCGUUGUAUUCUUUCCUUGCUUUUAGGCUUUAUCAUCUUUUCCUCUUCUCUCUCUCUCUCUCUCUCUCUCUCUCUCUCUUGAGUUGUGUCUAUGUGGAGAUCAGAGGGGGAGCUUUCCUGCCAACUUGCAGUGGCUAAAUUUUCUCUGCAACCAAUAAAGCUAUGGUGGCACCACUUUCUUUUUCUACACCAAAGAGAAACCCGCUCUCACUCUGCAUGGAUCUAAUUCUAAUUAGUCUCUUAAAUCCUCAAACGAUUUCAUCAUCACUUGGGUCUUAAUUUGUUGUUGUCAUUUCAUUAUCUCACCUAAUUAUUUAGUUAUUGCGUUAAACACAUUAAUUAUCUUUGAUAAGAGGAUGAGGUCAUGUAUAUAUCUUUGUUGAGUAAAAAACAAAGGAAAAAAGAUGAAAGGUACACUUGUUGUCGUCCUUGUAUGACACCCAAGGAAUGUGAAGUAGUAAAGAGUGAAAAAAGAGCAUUGAAAGAUAGAUACUAUUGGUCGGCUUCUAUUGUAGAAAAUUCUUUCUCAUCUUUAAAAAGGAGCUCGCUCGACUCAAAUAAACCCUUGUGAUGAUCUCUCGAUCUAUAUCCUAGUUAUUUUUUAAUCAAUUUUUUCUUUCUUUACUGUGAUCUAUGCAUGUGUUCCUUCCCAGCUAGCUCAUACUCAUACGAUCUUUUGCUUUAUUGGGGUUUAUAGUUUGUUAAUUUUUCUUUAAUUAUCCCAAUGGCUUUGUCUGCAAUAACUAACUUGGACCAACUAACUUAAAAAGCAGCAGGACAGGACUGAUAGUAGAACGCUUCCUGCUGCAUGAUCUAGAAUAAACUUAACAAAAUUCCUCCAAGACGUGCAUGUCCUCACCUCUUAACCCUUAUGAAAACCACCCAUCAACUGUUAAAUGACCUACAUUAUAACGAAAAUGUCUAAAUUCUGAAUGAAAAUGUCUAAAUUAAUACCUAUGGGAGCAACCAAAAAAAAACUUGUCUAUCCCAGGUUUUAUGGACAUUUCUCUUUAUCUCUAUCAUCAAGUGAUGAGAGAGAUAGAUAGAAAGGCGUAUGCAACAUGUCAUGAAAGUUUUACUCCUAUGGGAGACAUGAUAUAUAUCGAAGUUGAAAAGUAGGAAGUUAUAUAACUUGCAAGUAAGGAACAAUAUAUCAAUUAAAUAAUGGCAAAUUAAAUUUUGUUUGCAUGUACUUUGCUUUCUCAAUCAGAUAUCUUAAUAAAGAAAGAGAACAUCUUCAGGUUGCAUCAUCUAAUUAAACAGGAGAUAGUGAUAUUAGUGAGACAACAUUGCACCUUGCUAGUCAUAGUUUUAUUCAUGUCUAGAUCAAUUUUCCAUGACAUCCAUGGAAAUCUGGAAAUUAAGUAUCAAGGAGUUACAAGGAUAUCACACUAAGUUAUAAAUGUACUGGUAAAAUUAACAAUGUAACUUUAUAGGUUUGCCAUGCAAGGCAUUUUAUCAUACUUUACUUUAGUAGAACCCUAAUGUGACCUACUCACCUUCGUGACCACUCUGACAAGACCCCAAAAAAAAAAAAAAAAACUUCAUGAUCAUGAUCAAAACCCUAGAUCGAUCUCAUUCUUCAAAUCUUAAUAUCAAUUAAUUUUUUAGCUCACCCAAAAGGUGAAUUUCUUCCUUGUCGAACACCGGUGUUGAUCAUGGGGUUCAUCCUGUCGGAGCCUAGUGGUGUUCGCCGUGGUGAAGGCCUUUCCAGUUUAUUUGCCGAGUCAAACUUCUUGUCUUCUCCUUGGAUCAUUGGCUUGGAUUCGUAGAUGUCCGAAAUGGAAUCCAUCUCCGAGCCUCUCUCAAUGGACGGUGGUGCAAUCUGAAUUGAAUCUGACGAUUUGAAGGGAUCAUCCUGAGGUCCAAGACAUGAGGCAGCUGUUCCCAAAUCUUGAAGCCGGAGAUCAUCAGACCAAAUCAAAGGGCUCUUGCCACUACCACUAUAAGGACUAGGCCUCUUCUUGGGUCCCAAGCAAAUGCUAUUGUCAUUGCUUGGCAUGAAACUGUGAUCAAGAGGUGGCCUGUCCAAGUUCUGUUGAAGAUCAAGGUGGUCUCCUCCAUAUAUGUUAAGGUCUUGAAAUGAUGGAAAAUUGAGAGGAGAGUUGAAAUCUUUCAGAGCUCCCAUGUCAGCAGGAUUGACACCUUGAUUUCCAAUAUUACCCUUGUAGCUUCCUGCUGCAGCUGCCAUGUUGUUCUCACCAGCAAGGGUUUGACAGGCCUUUUCUAAUAUGCUUUGCAUGUACUUUCCCUGAGCCUCAAUUCUCAACUGCAGGUGUUUCUGGACCUGUUAUAUAUUAAUUAAAAUCAAGAUCACAAGAUCAUACAUGAAAUAAAUAUAUAAAACCUUUCUUUUAUCAUCAUUUAAAGAAGAGGUACUUUAAUUAUUUUUUUGCAUGUGUGUUUAGUUACCUCCAAUUGUUCAUGCAGUCUUCUCUGCACCUCCAUUUGCAUCCUAAUUGCAUCAACCAAGUGGCAAUUAAUACUGUUAUAUGCAGUUUUUCACAUACAUUCCACAAGAAAAUUCGAAUCCCCCAGCCCCAACCAAGCAUGAAAGGAAAUACUUAGGCAAUUUUUUUGGUUAAAAAGAGAUAAAAAAGAAACACAAACAACUUCUUGGUUGGAUGGAUAAAUUCCAAGAAAGAUUUAGAAAUCAUUUUGUUCUUGAAAAAGAAGAAGAAAGACCGAAUACAUACUCAUUCAUACUGCGGCCGAUCAUGGCAGAAGAAGAUGCACUAUUUCGUUGAAGAUCCAGGGGAGAUGCUGCCAUGAAAAUUAAUAAACAGAGAUCAGAUAUUCCAAAAAAGAAUUGUGGAACGAAGGCGCAGUCCAAAUUCAAGAGCUUAUAGUUUGUAAGGAACCCUAGAAAGAAUUGUCAUGCGUCUCAUACCAUGAUCCUUAAGCGAGUGAUCAUUGAAUUCCUUGUGAGGUUGCUUUCCGAGCCUAAAUUUCUAUUCAGGUAGGGAAACAAAAGAAUUUAAUGAAAAGAGAGAAAAAGAAAUAUCGUCAAGGCAAACCGAAAAUUGGAAUGUUGUAAAAGUGAAGCAAAGAAAAAGAUGAUAAAGUUCGAAAAAACAUCGUGUGUAGGCAAAUUAAACCUGGAGGUGGCUCUUGAGGUGGUAAAGUGUAAGACCCUUCACACCCAUAACCCUCAUGAUAGUCUUGGGUGUAGCUUCUGAAAAAAUAAGAGAAGAAAUGAGCAGAUGUAACAUAAUUAAUAAAUUUGGAUGCAUGAAAACUAUAAAUUGAAGGUGAAGGUUAUAAGUAGUACUGUCUGGUCCUCCAAGCUGAGUGACAGCAUCAACAAAACGUUCAUGGAGCUCAACGGUCCAUCGGAGGCGGGGCUUAGGGUCAGUGGUGAGGACAAGACCAGAGUCCCCUUGGACACACAUGGGUCUGUCAUGAGAAUUCAUAGUUGAUGGCUUCUUGUGGUGUUGGUGUGGGUGUUGGAACAUUAUUCUCUUUUUUUUCCUUUUUUUUUUUCUCUCUCUCUUUCUUUCUUUCUCUCUCAGAGCUGGGGGCUCUGGGAAUACCGAGAGAUUCAAGAACAAAUGCGAUGCAAAUAGGGAAGAAUAGGGUGCGUUUUUGAAGAAGAGGAGGUGGGCUGCCUUUGGUUUCUCUCAAGUACUGGAAAGAAAGCAAGGGGGACAAGCUAACCUUGUAGUAUAAAAGAAAAAAUAAUAAUAUAAAAAAAGAACAAAGAAAAUUAAAGCACACCUAUUCUACAAUGUGCUGGCCUUCCUUUGCCAAAAGGUACUCUCUCUCUCUCUCUCUCUCUCUCUCUCUCUCUCUCUCUCCGGUAAUUCUACGCUAAAUAUACUUAUGCCGGAAUUAUCAUGGUAUAAUGUGAAUUAGAGUGUAUUAGUUUGAGUGGUUUUUCUGAGAUUGGUAUGUGUAUCUUUUGUUAUAUCUCCAAAAGAGGAGAUCUUUGUGGUGUUAUAUAUUCUGUUAGCAUGUGAAGCUUUAUUUUUCGCAUUAAGAUAUGAGUGAGACCCCUCAUGGCAAUGAUGAUGGGCAGUAUGUUGUACCUUUACCCUUCUUUUUUCUGAACCAUGUAUAUACAUAUAAACCCUGCAUGUUGCCCUCCCAGUCAAUAAUUAUAUAUCUAAGCGCGCACACACACACACAUAUAUAUAUAUAUAGAAUCCUGGGCACACAUCCUUUGAACCAGUAACCUAUCAAGCAUGGUGUUUAGAACACAAAGAUUAAUAUAUCUUUAUGUCAUUACCAACAAAAAGGUUUCAAUGACAGCAAAAUUUCUGAUGAAGGGACUAAUGAUCAUUGCCAUUGUCAUAUGUUUGUAUUAUUUUUCUAGUUUUUUUUACACUUUUUUCUUGCUCCUAGAUUUCAUUCAAUGAGUGCUUAAUUAGAAGUAGGUUUUUUUCAAUUAAAUAUAUGGUUACAAUUAUAUUUAGCCUCUGUCUUUUUGGAAGAUUCUGAAUCUGUCAUUACUUGAAUGGUGUAGAGAUCAUUGUAUCAAGCUUUUGAGGCAUAUGAUUACAAGAACUUUGUUUCUAUAUCAUUCAAUUCUAAUUAGAUCUCAUAAUAUGAUUUAAGAAAAUUAAAGAUUAACAAUAUGAAUGCGAUUUUCUAUCGUGGAAGAGAAAGCACUAAAAAACAACAAAAUAUGGAACCGAAAACUUUAGGGGUCUGUGGUUGGUAAUAUAUGAGGACGUGAACAUCAAUGCAUAAAAGUAUUGUAAUGUGAAGCUUUUGAUGACCGGAGGGUAGGGGACCUUAGCCUUAGUCCUUCUAAAGCUUUGCUGGGCCUCAAUCCCUUAUCUCACUUUCCUGGAAUUGAAGAUGAAGACUGCUCUGCCAUGCAUUUCUUCUCCAAUCCAAAUCACAACAAACAAAACAACCCAAGUAAGGUCAACCCAAUAAGUUGCCUCAAGGCCCCACUCACACUCUACUAAAGGAUGUAAAAUUAGAAUGAGUAUAACAACUUGAGCCUUGGACCCAAGAGAAUUAAAAGGAAAAAUAAAUGUCAGUCAGAGAUUUAGAAUUCAAAUUUUAUAGACGAGAGUUGUUAAGAAACGAAAAAAGAAGCAAUCUUUUGUAUAAUCGUACAUAUAUGCCACUCCACAGAAGUAAUACAUACAAUUUACUUUUGUUGUAAAAAAAAAUUCCUACGAUUUAGUAUUUGCCCCAAUCUCAGUUGGGAAUCAAUGCUUUCUUCUUUGACAAUCAAAGGAAGAUUCUUCUCCCAAAAAUCUAGAACACCAUGAGUUACACAAAGCUCAUUAUUUUAAGAUACAGAACAAUUUACGACCGUCCCAUCUUGUUGUAUAUGUAUGAUUUGGUCCUACCGAGUAAAAGAUGUUGACCAGGUCCUACCAAAUUGUUCAAAUCAAAACCUAUGCAUGCAAGCCAGGUAGGAAAUCAAACAUUGCAGCAUAGAUUGAUUUUUGGGGGUUCUUUCCUAGAUUUUGACCCUCCCCACCACCCUUUGCAUGUAAACGAAAAUGCUUUAUAAUUUGGCACCUCUCCUGGACUCCUAUCCAAAUGUGUGAGGAAACAAAGCUUUGCAUUUAGAAUUGGAGAUGCUUCUUUUAGACAAUUGGCACAAAAUUGGCUGGACCUUUUAUAAUUAUAAUCAAGCAAAGUUGGGAUUUAACUUUUAGUUGGUAAUAAUGGGAACUUCAAAGCCAAAACCCAGUGGAAAAGUGGGUUGGCUUAGUGUUAAGGGCAUGUUUGCUUCAAUUUCAAGCAUCUUUAUGUGAUCUAUAGAGAAUCAUUCUUUAAAAUGAAUAUAUUCCUUUGAAGGUGAAUUUGUGGGACCCUACUUUAUGUACAAUUUGAAUACUUUACAAAGCUUCCCGCUUUUCUAUCGAGUUCCCAAGAAGGAUUGGACAGCAUGCAUGCAUGCAUGGUGCAUCAUCACCAUCACCCCAUGUCGAUGUAGCAACUCGAACUCACUCAAUUAUUCUUUUUAUACAAGCGAUAUUGAGGGGGAUUCGAACACAUGAUUUAAUGAUUUAGUUGACAAAAGAAAAAAAUCAAUGAAUUUUGUUUUAAGUAGAGAUGGUGCAGAUGAUGGAUGAGAAAAGAAAACAUAUUUGAUCUUGAAAGCAUAUAUAACAUUGGGGAAUAUAUGACAUUCCAUUGUCAUAUUCACAGCUUUUGCAGAGGAUAUAUUAAAUUAAUUUCCACAAACUAAAUCACUUCAGAAAACAGAGGCUGACCUAGACUUAACUUGCUUUUCUUGACAUUUACUAUCUUUUGCUAAGUGAAGAAAAAAUAGACACAAAAAACGGCGACUGAAAAGUUUGAUUCUUAUGGAAUUUGGAUUAGCUAGCCCAAUACGAUUGAUUUGGUGUAGAACUUCAGUACAGCCUCAAGCUGGGUGAGCUCAAUCUGUAGUCCGUACCACACAUUGGACAUAUUCUUUCAAAGAGUGUUUGCUAAUACACCCAGACAUUUGAUCACUACACCCUAAACCAUAUAGCUACACCCCUUUCAGCCAUUGAGUUUGGGCUUGGACCAGAAGAAAUCUAACCCCUUGCCUCCAUUCUAAACCUCCAGGUUCUGUUUUCAAUCAACAAAAAACCAACCUCAAGGUUCUGAUUAAUUGAAAGCCCACCCCAAUUCUCUAACAAGUCUGCUUAAAUCAUCCUCCUUACUUGGGCAUUGCGCUUUUGUAACUUACCAUGGAUUUCAAUUAGUACAGAAACUUUAUUAACAAAAAAAAAAAAAGAGGAACAAUUAUAAUAGAAAGAUCAAAACUAAAUUUUAUUUCUGUGCUGCAAAAUUACAUCAAAACUUAAUACAAAAAGAGACUUAUUUUUCUACAAAAGAGACUUAUUUUUCUGUUCUCGCAGAACUACCUCAAAACUAAACACUUAUUUUUUUUUUCCAAUACAACACAUUUUUCAUUUUUGAAGCAAAAGCAACUUUCGUUUUAAGCUUGGCAAGGAUCCAGCAAGAAACCAAGCACAUCAGUUACUGCUCAUAUUCCCCAGGCACACGUAUUUAACCUGCAACACAGUAUUUAGAAUUACCUUAAUAUUACGCACAGAACUAAGAAGUACGCCUAUGUAUCUUGCCUACAAGAUAGAAUUUUCGACUUCUUAAACAAUAUGGCAGGAAUAGCACACAAUUUUUUGAUUAAUUCAGGAUCAAAGAAAUGACUAAGUGAAGGAAAAAGAGUAUACAGACCAGCAUAAGUAUAUGAAUUUCUAGCUGCACACAUGCAAGUGCAUUUGUGUAAAUGUGCAUACAUAUCCAUGCCGACGUCAUAUUUUCUAGAUUGUAUUAGAUUCUUUGUUUUUGUUUUUCCCAAAAUGACAACAUUCAGAGUAAACAAGUGAUAAUGGCUAUUUUACAACAUUUGAACUACUGAUGCAUGCCAUUUGGGUUUCUUUUGUUAAGCAUGGUAAAAGGGAUCUCUUGUACACUUACUUCCAAAUAUUCAUCCAUCCCAUACUUGGAACCUUCCCUUCCAAGACCAGACUGUUUGACACCUCCAAAGGGAGCCACCUUCAUUCAUACAGAUAAUCAUGAAUACACCGAUAUGUUAUUUAAAAAUGAAACUGCUGGUGGAUGCAGUGUGGGACCCACCUCUGUUGAAAUUAUGCCUUCAUUGACACCGACAAGUCCAUAUUCAAGAGCUUCAGAGACACGCCAUGAACGUUGAACAUUAUUUGUAAAUAUGUAAGAAGCUAACCCUGUAUAUGCAUGCAGGAGAAUUUGCUGAUGAGUAGCAAAACAGAAUUUUAAAUGGAAAUAUCACCAUUUUCCUUAAGGUCCUAAUGGACGUAUCAAAAUAUGAACGGAUGCUCAAAAAAGAACCUGCAGUGGUGUCAUUAGCAAUUCGGAUAGCCUCGUCCUCAGUUUUGAAACGCAAAAGGGGUGCGACAGGCCCAAAUACUUCCUCUCUGAGCCAAGACAAUGUUUUCAGUGCACAGGUAAUAAUCUACUCAAUGGAACAGGAGGCAAAAGUUGUUGAGCACAACUAGGCAAAAUUUUGCAGACCCAAAAGAAGUCAUAAAGAAAGUAAUAAGUAGAAGCUAACCACCCUGGUGAUCAUGUCACCCACAAUAAUGAGUGUCACGGUUCAUUAAUUCAAAUAAUCAAAUCAACCAACAAUUUGGUUAUGUCAUUUAAAUGUCUAAAAUAAAGCAAAAUUUUAUCCAAGUGUUUACCUUGCUAUUAGCAUAUCAUUCUUGACAUCACUGAGAACUGUAGGCUCAUAAAAGGUCAUUCCAAGGCUAUGCCUUUUGGCCCCAAGAACAACUUUUGCUCCCUUCAAAAGAUUAAUUAUUAAAGAAUCGAAGGUCAUUGUUUCUCAUCAAAAUAAUAAAAAAAGUUUCAAAGAAAAGGUUCAUUCAUUCUAUGCCCUCAAGCUCAAGUAAUGUUGAAUAAAUGAGAAACUGUAGAAAUCUGUGGAAAAGUAACAUAACAGCAACGAGGAAGAUCAAAAUGCAGAUAUGGUUUGAUCCAACAUAUCUUAGUUCCAAUCAACUGGAAUGUAGCAACAAAGUCAAACUUCUACAUUUGUUAUUCAAGGUCAAGUUAAAUAUUCUUAUGACACCACCUACAUAGCAACUGAAUCAAUAGAAAAUGCAGAAAACCAACCUUUGAUAUAGCAUCUUGAAUAAAUGAUUCAACCUGUGAUGUGAAUUCCCAAAGUGACAUACAGAUAUCAGUAAAGUGAAGGGGGGAGCACAGACAUAAUGGAAUUACAUAUUUGAAUAGAAAAGCAAACCUUUUGUACUGCUGCUUCAUUGAUUAGUGGACCCUGCAAUGAAAUGAAAACAAUACGUUAGACUAUGAUUUUAAAGCUUGAGUAACUUCUGGUUGAAUUUUAUUAUCCAGGGGAGGCUUUGUCUUCAGAUUAUCAUUUUCAGGUCAGAUAAUAUAGAAAAUAUCAAAAGUCAACCUACACGAUGUAAUUUAUGGUUAUAUAGGGGUGACUCCAAGCGUAUUCCCUGGAAACCAAAAACCACCUAAAAAGAAAUGACAGCAAAUGCAUGAAUGAGACUACCUGGGCCACACCUUCACUAAAGCCAUUCCCAACCUGCAUAUUCUGGACAGCUUUCGCAAAAGCAUCCCUAAAUUUAUCAUAGAUACCUGAACAAAUAACAAUCUACUUAGAAAUCAGCAUUAUCCCUUUGGAGUCUUAAUGCAUAAGAAACUGAGCAAGAAACCAAAAUCAGAUCAGAAAUUAUAGUCAAAAGCUGGUUUUGUGUACACAAGCAUGAGAGCCUUAAGUAAUAUAAUCAGAAUCUAGCACUAACGUCAAAGCUACCCACUCCAGUCUGCAUACAUAAUCUUAUUUUUCGAUAUGACAAAAAAGGCUAGUAUAUCAAUAGGAAAGGUUGGAGCUCUUGGAAAACAAUUCUUACUGACAAAAAUCUUUAGUUUAAAAAAUGAACGCCUUCACUAUCCCCAUGUACCAUUACUUGAGUAAAAUUAAUAGUCCCCUCUUAGUAAUUGCAUAUUAUAGCUCUUUAAUAUAUAUAUAUAUAUACAGAAAAUCAUUGAGCCAUGUCUCAUUGUCUAUUUUAUUGGCGAUAAUGAUUGUUUACCAUCUGAAGUCCUUCAAAAAAUACAGGAUAUCCUUCCAAUUCACAAAAUUUGGUGUUUAAAGGAUUCUUGUAACAAGGAAUUUUAUGAAAUCUUAUAUUUGCCACUGGAAAUCAGCUGCUAACGUGUAGUCUCAGCAUCUCUACACCAGGGAGCACUAUCUUAACUAGAUAUUAAUACAGACUGAAUAACAAUAUGGUUUCAAACAGUCAAGCAUAAGUUUGUAACUUAUUAAUUGAAUGUGUUUCCAUCAUACCUUCUUGUACUAGAAUCCUAUUUGCACAAACACAUGUCUGUCCAGUAUUACGAAACUUUGCUGCAAGCUACAAAACAAAUUGCACACUUGAUGGUUCAGCCAAUGAAUGUAACAGAAGAAAAGAUUCUUUGUGUUCAACUAUCAAACAUAAAUAAUUAAACAAGGUGAAAUAGUCAAAUAAAUAAGAACAUAUCUAAUAUGAAAGCAACAGUUUUACUUACAGUUCCUUUUACCGCCACAUCCAGGUCUGCAUCGUCAAAGACUAUGCAGGGUGCAUUGCCACCAAGCUCAAGAGAUACCUAACAUAAUCAAGAAACAAUAGCAAUUAACCACAUAAUGAUUCCUCAAACCUCACUAUUUAGCAUAUACACUUAUCAUUUAGCCUAUAUAUUUACCUUUUUGACAGUCGCAGCUGCACCAGCCAUCAGCUUCUUUCCAACUGCUGUUGAGCCUGUGAAAGUGAUCUUUCUUACCUGAAUAAGUUAUAUCAAUCAAGAAUGGUUAAUGUUUUAUAUUUUCUAUAGCUAUAGAAAAUUGAAUUAUGGUGUCCCACGGAGAGGGACCGCAUUAUGUAUGAAUUAUAAAACCUGCGAACUUGCAAGUAAAGCAUCCCCAAUUGCUGAAGCAUUUCCCAUAACCACGUUCACCACACCCUGUAUCAGAAAUGGUAAACACCAUUAGAAACAGAAGAGGCAGUAAAAGUUGUGAUGACUGAAGCAACAAAAAGUUUAGGGAUGCGAUGCUCUUUAGAGAAUAUGUAAAAUCAGCAAGUAGCUAUUACAUGACAUGUCUCCUUGUGCAUCAGGAUUGAUCUUUCUAAGAAGAAAAAUGGUCAAUAUUCAACAUCAUGAAAUAGAUAACUAUAAAGCAAGUGAUGGUUGAAUCUCCAAAAGGAUAUUUGGUCUCAACUAUUCAUUAUCUUUAGAAGAGUGAAGAAAAAAAGCACACUUUCUGGCCAUGAUGGCAAAAGUCUUUACGAAUUUGUAUUAUAUUAUCAAAGCAUGAACACUUAAAGCUUUAUAAGUACAUUUCCAUGCUCAAAUUUGUUAUAUCUCCAAUUCUAAAGCAAACAGCGCAGACAUUUGUUACAUGCACCAUUCAUACAACUCUAAUCACGAGCACACAAAUACUUGUAGCACUAAGCAAUAAAUUAAGAAAUUCAUUUCCAGCACAGAGCCGACAUAUGACAAUCUACAUUAUAUGUCACGCUUGAGAGUAAUAUUAUCCACAACUGCAAGGCCAAAUGAAAAACAACGUGCAUUAUACUAAAUAAGAAGUGUGCUUGUGUGUGUGCUCAAACAUAUAAGAAAUAUUACCGGUGGUAUUCCAGCUUGAAGGGACAGCUCAGCUGCUGCUAAAGCUGUGAGGGGUGUAAGUUCAGAGGGUUUUAUGACCACUGUACAGCCACAUGCAAGAGCAGGACCAACCUGAAACAAGUGUGGAGCAGAACAGGAGAUUUUUGUGAAUGACAAUCAUGCGCUAAAAAGGUCGGAGUUCUUCUACUUAACAAAUUCUACACCAUUAAAAUAUCUUAAAAAUACCUUGCGGGUAAGCAUAGCCAACGGGAAGUUCCAGGGAGUAACUGCACCAACAACACCAACAGGCUGCAAAAGAAAAUUUAAUAAGAGAUCAAAGAAUAGAAACAGAAGUAAAUCCAGCGCCCUGCCCUCCACCCCAAAAGAAGGCCAAAUAUCAUUUUUUGUAUUUUUAUGCUAAAGUUCAUAGUAGCACUUAGAAACCCUACAGUUGCGCAUUAGAGGGAUAUUGAAGAGUUUUGUAUUAUUGUACUUGCAUGUUUGGCCAGCAAAUUUAGCAUCAAUGGAAAUGUACCUUUGUGCUUUUCCCUUUUCUUUUUUUUUUCUUUCAGAUUUAUUUGACAAACUCCUCAAAAAUAUAUUCUCAACAUUUGGCUACCGGAUGAACUAGUUGUAAUUUGGAGUAAUUAUAUAGGCCAUACAAAAUUCAAAGAAACAUAUAAGUUCACCUGCUUCAAAACAAACAACCGUCGAUCAGAAAGAGUUGGUGGUAUGAUAUCACCAUAUACACGUUUUGCCUCCUCAGCAUACAACUCAAUAAACCCGGCCCCGUAACUCACCUGUAAUAAGAGUUUGAAAUUUGAAUCACAUGAUGAAAGUAAGAUGCAAAGCUACAGCUAAUUGCUUAAAUCCCUUAAACAGAAGUCUGAAAUAGGAUACCUCGCCAAUGGCUUCUUUUAGAGGUUUCCCUUGCUCCAAGGUAAUGAGUUGUCCAAGCUCUUCUUUGUGGGAAAUUAGUAGAUCAUACCUUGAGAGAUGGGAAGGAAUAUAAAUAUCAAGAACAAAUGAAAUUUUUUACAAAACCAGAUAUAGAAUCACAGGACAGCAAUUAUACCAUUUCCUUAGACAUUUGCUCCUUUCAGCAGCAGUAAGCUUGCUCCAAGCUAUACACAGGAUAAUAAGUUCAGAUACUUAAAUUAGUAAAAGAAUUUUUUACAACCUCAGGCUAUGUUAAACAGAUGUCAUCUACAUUUGCAUGAUAAUAAACGCAUAAGCACGAUUAGCUCAGUUUAUGGAAGUACGCUAAAUGCAGUAGAUAAAUUUCUUCAACUGUCUAACGUAAUCACAAAUUCACAAUGUGGAUUAGUUCCCAUACAAUUAAAUGCACCAUAGGCUGAAGAUAUUGCAUCAUUUGUCUCCUUUUGACCCAUGCAUGGGACAGUUGUUAUUACUUCGCCAGUUGCUGGAUUGUGAACCUGCCAUGAUAUGAAAUAGAAGUGAUUUCUGAAAACAUCGAGGAGAGGAACGAAAGAUGCAGUGUGAAGGUUGGUAGGUGGACCCAACAGAACUAAUAUUUAAUUAAGUAUGGUCAUAAGUAGGUGCUCCUAUCUCAAACAAACCACAUGUAAUCAAAAGAAAAUGAGGCAUGAAACCAGCAAUAUUCAGAACAGAUAACAUUUAUAGAUUUAAUGUAAAGAUCAUCCAAGGGCACAUGUAUCAGAGGAAACGAAGAGGUUCCUAGCUCAUACCUGUAUGGUUUUCCCAUCAUAUGCAUCAGACCAUUUCCCUCCGAUAAGGCCCUGGCUACGUAAUAGGCCAGAACUACUAAGCCGAGAAGCAAAACUUUUUACAUCCAUGCUAAUCUGACAAAGAAUCCCCCAUUCAAACAUUAACAUAUUGAUAAAUACUACUUUAAGAUAGAAAAUUCUACAAAUAAAUUGUAGAAUAACACAAGUUCAACAUGUACCAUUAUUGAAUAUUAAGAAGAGAACCCCAAACAUAAUUAAACAAAAGUACUAGAGUAGAAAGAAAAAAAAAUCUCAUUUGCAACAACAAAUAAUGCUUUUAUAUACAAAAUUUUGAAGGAAUGGAGAAAAAAAAAAUUAGAUAUUAAACCUCUGCCCAUGUCAGGACUAUAACAACAUUUGAUAUCACCAUGUAUGCAUCAGUCCUUCUAUUGAUAUUUCUAUGCACUGAUUUUUAUAUAUCUAUGCAUGUCUGAGCACACAGUCGAAAAUGCAAGGGACGCAUAUUAGCAUUUUGUGGUUCCAAUAUAAACUGGAAAGCUCCUUCAACAUCCCAAACAUUAGCAACAACCAUAUUCAAUCAAACCCAAUAUCACACAGACCCAUCUCGAUGACAAACAAAACAAUCUAAGGCAGGCUUUAAAACUAAAACUCAUGACUAUUUUGAAUGAAAUUAGAAAUUUAACAAACAGAACAAUAUUUCUUGUGCAACAUUGACUCUUGAUUUUCAAUCAACCACCUCAAAUUCAAAACUUGAUCUUUUCAUCAACAUUUACAAUCAAACCAAGCAUAUGCAUAUUCAUUCAUGAUCAUAUCAGCCUAGGGCCAGAUCACCGNNNNNNNNNNNNNNNNNNNNNNNNNNNNNNNNNNNNNNNNNNNNNNNNNNNNNNNNNNNNNNNNNNNNNNNNNNNNNNNNNNNNNNNNNNNNNNNNNNNNACACACACACACUCUGUAUAUCUCACCACAACAUAUCUUUCUUUUUAUAUAUAGAUCUAAAUACACACAUAUAUCUCUAUAAAGCACUCUCACUCACACACACUCUCACACUCUCUCUCUCCCCCUCUCUCUCAUACAUAUAUAUAUAUAGCGACAUACCGAGAGAGAGAGAGAGAGAGAGAGAGAGAGAGAGAGAGAGAGGGAGGGAGAAGGGCAAAUACUUACAACUGCUUACUGCUACAGAACUGAAAUUUGAGUCUCUUUGAGCUCUUGGGCGAUAUAAAUACACAUAUACAGAGACAAAUCACAAACGGAUGGGGGUUACCUGGCGAGAGAGGAGAGGAGGGGCUUGCAUGGAAGGCAAAUGUGUGAAAAGCUUGAAGGAUCGAGCUGACAUGCGUGACGCUCUGAAGGUCAUGGCAGAAAUCAGAUUCAAAUUUUUCGUCUUUUUAUGCUUCUAGUGGUUCUACGAAGCUCACUAGUCUGGUUUCUUUUGUAAUCGUUGAAGUUUAAGCUCACUACUUCGCAGUGAAGCUCCACGCUGCCUCUCUGUGACAACAAUUUUUGCCAAUUGUGGCACCCUCUCUGCUCUCUUUGCUUUUUAUUAUUAUAUAGUCAUCAUUUGGGGGGCAAGCCCAAUCCUUUUCUGGAUUGAGCCUCCAUCACUUUUUUCCUUGGGCCAUGUUUUGGUCGGCUGGAGUGGAUUGGAUAUAUCCAAUUAAAAUGGACAUGGUUCCAGUUCGUUGUUUGAUGGGUUCAAAUGCACCUAAGAGCAGUUUGGAUGAAAAUAAUUACAUCGGCUACAAAUCUAGCAGAUGAGGGAUUAGGAAACCGAAGCAGAGACGUGGGUUUACAACGACGCCUCCGCCUCCUUCUUCUCGUCUUCUCUUUAUUAGAUUUUCUUCUCUGAUGCUACAAUCUUAUCACUUAUCCCACAUAUUUCAAGCAAUCUUAUCAUUUACUCUUUCUCCAACCAAAAGCGCUUCUGACUAUGUUUGACAGAAAAAUUUAGAAGCGUUUCUGGGCCAUAAAAGCGCUUUCCGAAGAAGCCCCUAGCAUGUGCUUCUUCAGGAAGCACUCCCAAGUGCUUUUUCAGGAAGCACAUUCGAUUUUUUAUGAAAUUUUCAACAACUUUAUAACAAAAACGCUUUUAUUAAAAGCGUUAUGAACAUAAGUGUUUUCUAAAGAAGUAGUUCCAAACAAGCCCUUAAUCUCAGUUGUUCUGGGUUAAUGAAUAAUAUCAAUGUUCGAUGUAAGUCCCAAUCUAAAUAAUUGACUCUUUAAUUUGAUGCUAUUUAAUUUUAAUUUUGUGUCUGUUUUAGUAAUUGUUUAUGAUAUUAAAUAAUGAAAUAAAUACUAAAAUUUAAUUAAAAAAUUGAAAUCCAAGACUCCAAUCUGGUCCAGCAAAUUGAUGUGCCGAACAACUCAUAGGACUUAAAAGUCCAAGCCAAUCCAAACCAACCUAGUUCAAUUAAAAUCCAAUUCUAUCCAAUUCAGUUUCGUCCAUCAAAUGGGGCUUAAUUUGGCAAAUCUUUUGUUUCAAACUUGUUAAAGGUACAAUCAUGAUUUAGCAAGCCCAUUCCUUAUAACGCGUUUGCUUACUUGGAAUUUGGUGAGGUCAUAUCAAUUAGCUCAUGAUUUAGUGACAUUUUUCUUAUCAAUUUAGACUUAAGUCCUAAGUUCAAACCCAACACUUUUGAUUAAUGAAGAUAAUAGUCAUGAAUUGAGAAAGUACCACUAAUUGUAUUAUGUUUUUCUUUUUAAUGGAAUUAAGGGAGUCGAACUUGUGACUUCAAUCACACCAAUUUAAACUACAUUUGGCACUCUUCUUCUUUUUUCUCCUUUUUUUGGGACUCUCUUCUUUGCAAACCCCCACAGAACCAACUUCUUUGGCUAAUAAAUUGGGCGACUCUCUCCCCCGUCAUGUUGUAGAGAGAUUUUAAUCCCUAGUUUUAUGUUGGGUUUUGUUUCUCCCCAGUUUUGUGCUCGGUUUUGUUUAUCCCCAGUCCUUUUGGACUAACUUUUAAAAUCCUUUAUGUUGAGGAGGUAGAGUUUUUAUAUCUAAAUAGAUCUUUCAUACUGGGUGUUGUGAGAUCAUGUGGGAUGUUGGAGGUGUUGUGGCCUUCUUUUGCCAAGUGGAUGUUGAGCGGUAAGGCCCUUUCACUUUUGGUGCUUAUGGUUCCCUAUUCAUACAAAAUCAGUCAUUCUCAUGGUCUCUCUAUAGCAUUGGUAUUGUAAAGACUGUAACACCCCGACUCCAAAUUUUCCCAAAUUUAACCCUUAUUUAAUUAUUUAAGGGUAUUUUAGUUAUAUUUUUAACCGGAGAGAGUUUGGGAAGUAUUUUUGGAUAAGUCGUACUGAGACGAGUUCAUAGACACGUAGUGGGCUCGAAUCGGAGUUGUAACGAGAGAGAUAUGGUCAAAAGAAACCCAGUGGCACAAUCGUAAAUAUUUCGAAAUGAGAUUUUUAUAAAAAUCUGGUUUUCUCUCUCUCUCUCUCUUCUCCGCGCGACCUCUCUCUCUCUCCUCUCUCUCGCGCGCGACAGCCGGCCACGUUUUGGCCGGCCGUGCUCUCCUCCGGCCACCAAUGACGACGGGACCGGUACCAAAAUGACCGGGCCGUCGUCCUCUUCCAACCCCAGCCAGCUCCCGCCUCCAGCCGCCGCGGUUUGGGCCGGAAUUUGGAGAAGAAGCGGCCGACGUCGCCCCGAUCUUCACAGCCGCCCGAUCUCCCUCCUCCAGCUGCCAUUUCUGGCGAUCAAGGUAUGGAAAUUCAUCCCUUCUGCAUGCUCUAGCUGAUGGUGGGUAGGAUUAGAUCGAUUCUUAGCGUAGACAAUUCGAUUUUCGAAUUGAAAAUCUGCCGAACUUCGACCGCCGUGAUCGGCCACUUCCGGUCAGUUUUUGGGGUAGGUCCAAGAACAAAAGUGGCUCCAAAUAGGGUCUUAUACCUAGGGUAGGAAUUUGGAGCCGUGGUUUUGAGAUUUUCCGGCGAAGCGUUAUCGCUUUGGGCACUCACGCGCUGCCGGCGCGUGCGGCGGAGCGUGGGCACUGUAGAAAAAGUGACACUGUAUCUCGAUGAGAUCCUUAGGUUGUCACGAGUGCGUAGGAUUUCGCGGAUCUCAAUUCGGACAUCGUUUGACUAUCGAACGGACGAUCGCAUAUUGCGCGUUAUCCGGGUUCGAUAGGUUGGGACCGUCGGAUGGUCCCAAAUUUAAUAUAUGUUAAUCUAGGUAAUUCUAGGAUCGUGUAGGAAUUCACGGAUUGUGAAUCGGAGCCCCGGAUGUUCCGAAUAGUAAUUUUACAGUUUAUAUUUUAUAUUAAUUGUCAGAUCGUGCGAUCGUGAGCAAUCCGACCGUCCGAUCUGAAUCAAACUUGCAGAACAAGUGUCCCAUACCUGGUAGAACCCAUAGGGACUUUUGGAUCGGAAAUUGAAGGUCGUGGGUUCUGCAGGUCCGUUUGACCAGGGUUAGAGUAGUUUGACCCUUGGUUGACCGUGAGUCUCCCGAAGUAAUCUUACCUUUCCAGGGGAGAUUAUCGGGUGCUAGACUAUUGUGGAGGGUUACACAAUAUUAGAAUUAUUUAUAUAAUUAUACAUGGUUGUACAAGGGUACAACAGAGUCUAGAAUGUCAGUUUGGAGUGCUGUACGCACUACCUUAGAUACCUCCCUGGAUGUUGGAUUCACUACAAGUACCACCAAGUGAAAGUUAGGUCUCACGUGGCGUAGGUUAUCCGGCGUUGGGACAGGCCCCAUACGUGGCAUUGGUUGUACCAGCGUAUGGGGAGAUAUGAGAUAUGUUGUUCAGGUCUCACGUGGUGUAGGUUAUCCGGCGUUGAGACAGGCCCCAUACGUGGCAUUGGUUGUACCGGCGUAUGGGGAGCUAUUGUGAUAUUGUGUUGAGGUCGCACGUGGCGUAGGUUAUCUGGCUUGUCUACAGACCCCAUACGUGGCGUUGGUUGUACCGGCGUAUGGGGAGAUUUGUGAUAUGAUGUUGAGGUCCCGCGUGGCGUAGGUUAUCCGGCGUUGGGACAGGCCCCAUACGUGGC